UUGAGACCAUAACCUACAAAAACUCUCAUAACCAUGAAUCUAAUCAUUUGAUUAAUAUAAAAAAUUUCAAAUACAUUUAAAACAAACACAAUUAUAGAUUAAAAAAAAAUUACCUAUAGAUAUACUAUAUCAGUUACAUAAUCCUCAAAUUUGUACACUUUUUUUUAUUUCUCAAAAAUCUAAACUCAUUGAAUAUAUUUCUUAUUUUGAAAAGUCGUCAAAGCCUCAAUAUGCCUUCAAAUCACAUGAAAUAAAUUCUUAAAAAUCCCUUCACAAGUUUGCUCUGAAAUUUUGCUCUCUAAUCUAUCAAACAACCCUAGCAUCAAUGUAAGUGUACAAUUUUAUGCCUUAAGGUUUGAUUUCAACAUUGGUUUGCAAAUGGUCCUCUUUGAGUAUGAAUUCUUCAUAUUUUGAGGUGUUUCUUUGUUAAAACCUAUUCUUAAUUCCUUUCUAAAAAUGCCUAUGUUAAUUUUUUACUUCAUUUACUUUGAUUUGGUUCACCUAAGUCCUUACAAAAUAAAUAGAAGUUUCUUCUUCAAUAAGGCAAUAUUAACAUUUAUUAAUUUUUAGUAUCUCCUUGUCUAUUAUCUAUAUUUCUAAGAUAAUUUCCUAAAAUAUUUUCAUUUAAGCUCCUUUAUAAUAUAAUCUUUUCUUUCUUCUUUUACCAUAUAGAAGUAUUACCACACAACAAUGGUCUCUUUUCUUCUCUUCCUUAUCUUGAUGCAGAUCUCAUCUCUCUUCUUUGUCUUCAUCCUCUUUUCUAAUAAAGAUAAGGAGGAUGGCACUAAGACCUUUGAUGAGAAAAGGAGGGGAGGAUCAAGACUCAUGUUUGGAUAAAGAAGAGAGGUGAGACUUGCAUCGGGGCAAAGAAGAGAUGGAGGAGGUUGGGACCCCUAUCAAAGAAAGAGAGAGAAAGAAGAGAAUUAGGAAUGAUCCUAAGACAAGGAAAUAGAAAUCUAGAUGAAUCAAUUAAAAGCCUUAGGUGUAUAUAUAGACAUUAUAGAUAUGCAUACAUCAACUUAGGAAGUUCUUGUGGCUUGAGCUUAUUUUAUAUUCAUCCUUUCCAUCAAAAAAUAACAUAUAAUUUUAUAUAAUUAUAAAAUAUUUUUUAAUUUUAAAUGAAUAUAAUUAUUAUCUAUAUAAAUCUUUUAUGCAAGUGUAUGUAUCUAUGUAUGUAUGUAUAUAUAUAUAUAUAUAUAUAUAUGCAUCAAUUACAAUCAUUCAUAAAGUUUUUCUUUUCAUUAACUAACACAAUCAUGACUUAAGUUUUGAUUCAGCUUCUAAUACAAUUUUUGUAUUUUGUAUAUAUGUAUUUGUAAUGUAAUGAUAAUAAUAAGAAUCAUAAACACAAAAAAGACAUGCAUUAAAGAGAUAGACAAGGAACAUAAACAAAUUUUCUCAUCAAGUCAAACUUUUUUCAAAUUCAAAUUUCAAUUUCUUUUCACCAAAGAUGUCUCCAAAGCCGUAUGCAAAAUUUGACCUGAAAUACUGACGUAGUUCUUAAAGAGUGCUCACAAAGACAGAAACAUCUGCAAAGCAAAUUAUAAUCUAACAAAUCAGCUCACAUCUGAUUUUUCCAUUUUGAUUUUCCUCACAUUGAAUGAUGCAAAUUCCAACACAAGUUCUUACUACCAUAUGUAUGUGUGUGUGUGUGUGUUUACAUAUAUAUAUAUAUAUAUAUAUAUAUGAUUAAAAAGAGAGAGAUGUGUGUGUUUAUAUAUAUAUAUAUAUAUAUAUAUAUAUAAAUAAAAAGAGAGAGAUGUGUGUGAAUUUUGAGGUACAAUACCAACACACAACCGACGGUGGCAAGCCGAAGCUUCCAAAGGCAUCGAGAACAGCAACCACAGCAACCCCGUUGUCGACAACGGAAAUUGAGGUCAAUCGCAACCGUCUUCGCGUGCCAAUGUGUAUGCCCAUCCUCAAUCGCACUCACUCACUUACCCCCACUCCCGCACUCCCCCACGGCAUCCAUCCAUCGAUCCAUCCCCGGAGUCUACUCCGACAACCCACUUUCAGAACACAGAGGUGUUAGGGUUUCAAGGUUUCAGGGUUUCGGGAUUCCACACCCCCCACGAAUCAUCUAACCUCAUUCUGCUUGCAUGAUUCGUGAGCAUCUUGCAUCAGCGAGCAGGAAGGAGAGCGAGCGAGAACAAAUUGCGACCCGUGCUACAAAACUAAAGCGAGAACAACGCAGAGGAAGGAGGCAUAGAAGGGGCUUAGAAGGGAAGGGGGCCAAUUGGACGGGUACGACACUUCCCCUGUCCCUUGGAUGGAUGCACCCAAGCGGACGGCCCAGAUCUGACGACACCCGUCCCCGUUCUCAGGCCUCAAGGCCUCGUCCACCCCUUUACCUUAGCGAUGGUUCUCUAUGGCUAUGGCGGCUUGAAGCUUUGUUUCUCAGACCUCUGUUCAUUCCAGUGAGUGUCUCUCUCUGGGACACGGGCCUCGCAGCGUAUUCCUUCUUCGGUACGUGGCACUAAUCCCCCGCAUUGCGUUUUCCUCGACCCCUGAGUUUGCUUGUAGGGUUGCCCUCAUGUCUGUAAUCUCUCGUCUCCUGAGUUUUGUCUGGGAGACAAAUAGGGUUUCAUGUUUUAUGAACGGGUGUGCGUGCCAUGAGUUUGACUGAGUGCUGUGUAUGGUGAGUUCAGGGGUUUUGGUAUAUUUGAUAUUGUGGAAAUUAAUGGUGAAGUGGAGAUGUGAUAAUUGUGCGAGUGUGAAGUCACGCGAUAGUUGUUUGUGGAGUUUUGACUUUACGGCUCACUUGGUGAUUGAUGGGUUAUUGCUUUUGGGAUAAAGCAAACUCUGAUGCUCUUCUUUGUUGAAUGUACUUUUUGUUUUCGUUUGUGGUAGGUUUUUGGUUGACCUUGGUCUUGGUUGCAGAACACCGUGUUUCUACACAGUAUUUCUUCUUUUUGCGUAUUUAAUCGUAUCAUUGAGCGGUGUCUUUUUUUCUGUUUCAUGAAGCAUGUAUUGUUUAUCUCUGUUGUUUGAUGCUCCCUUCGUUUCCCUAAAGUUUGUAUCACAUAAUUCAGAGAUUUUGGUCAUAUAUUCUUGGGUAUUGGUGCGUUUUUGGAUUCUCAUUUUUUAUUCACUUUGAAGUGUUUGUGAGCUCCUCCAUACUUAUCAUUGAUAUGGUUGAUAGUGUUUGAGCUCGGAUGUUUUACUGCUGUUUCAUUGGUCUUUGGGUUUUGCUCAUCAUAUUCGUAUUUUGUUUAUUUCGCAUACAAAGUGGGUGCACCAAUGAAUUGUUUAACACAGGUUUUGCUAACAAAUUCGGGUUACAACACACUCGUCACGCAUGGGACUUGAUUGUAGGUUCUUCUCUACUGUUUAGCGUUUCAAAUGAGUGUUUUUCUGCAAAUAUGUCGAGACUUCUGCAAAUCCGUCGGAGAUGCUAUGUCUGUGUAUAAGUGUUUCAGUUUGGUUAUGUAAGGGUAUUAUGCGCUUUUUUUAAGGGAAGAGUAACUUUACUUUGAGCAAUGUGUUUGGGAGAUAAGGGUUUUUCACUGGAAUCUGAUUAUACUUCCUAUUUGCAAGAGCUGAUAUGGACUGAGCGCUUACUUCUGACGGUGAUGUCUUUGGGAAUAACAUGCUGGGACAAGAAUGCUAAUUCAUUCAUUUGAUUAGUAAUUGACGUUUUUCUUCCUCCCUUAAUUAUUUGUUAUCGUGUGUUUUUUUCGUGAAUAUUUUUGCAGCUAUUGGUGUAGUACUUCCCUUUCUGUGCAAGAUGUCUCGAUAUGAUGAUCGCUACAGAGGCAGCGACAGGCGCGAUGAUCGAGGCGGAGGUGGAGGAGGUUACCGUGGUGGUGGUGGUGGUGGUAGAGGUGCCGAUACUGGCCCUGAUGCUGGAGCCACUCGUUUGUAUGUCGGCCGUCUUUCUACCCGAACAAGAAGCCGAGAUUUGGAAGACCUCUUCGCGAAAUAUGGGAGGUAUGAAUAUUACCAUUUGAUCCGUGUGAGGUCAAUGAAGAGAUCUGUUGGAUAGAUGCUGGAAGAGCCCAUUGUGCCUUCAUAUUGCCUAAUUAAACCCGUAAUGAGGUGGCAUACUGGGAUUUUUUUGAAGACAUAUGUUUUGAUGCAUCUUCGUGGAGAACAACACCGAUGCAAGUUUUGGUGGGUUCUGGUGUUAUGAGUUGGACAUAUGUCAGUGAUUUUUUGCCGAUUGGUUUUGUUCGUUGUGGAAGUCAGCAUCCUUGACCACAUUCAGGAGUUUCAUCGUUUUGUCUUUUUUUAGCCCUGUACUACUCAGGGUUUUAGACUUUUAGUGGUAGUUGAUUUAGGGGUUUUAGGCGAUUGAUACACAGGAUCGAGCAAGAUUCAAUACGUCUAUUUGACUCUGCGCUAGAAAUCCUCCUUGUGCUGAAAAACCUGCUGUGCAUCGAGUAGAGGCGUCUACUAGUAUUCUAGCAGGUCUAAAACAAACUGUCAUUGAUGCGGCUAGUUUUAGCGAAUUUCAAUGGGAAUUCAACGCAAGACUCGCAUUGUGUAUUGAUUAUGCAAGACCUGAAGGAAAGCAAUUGACGGGGGUUGUUCUGUGUAAGAUAAGAUCACUAGGUAGGUGAAUGACAGAAAUAACGGUAGUGAAAUAAUGUCAUUUGCAAGCACCUUGUAAGAUUUGAUCUAGUUAGUCAUUGUUUGUGGAGGUGGUUAGUCCUACCUUGCAGUUGCACGUUACUUGUCACUGCUGAAUACUGCAAGAAAAUGACAGCCUCGACAAUCAAGGCAAGGUAUUGGAAUGGGCAGGGCUAAGCCAUAAUUACUUGCAUGAUGUUGUUGAAGGUUGGUGGGCUCUCUCACGGCCUGGAGUUCUUUGGUGAGGGGUCUUUGGUGGCACUGGUGGCUUAAGCUCGCGAAGGUAGUUGGGGAGGCAGACAGGCGCAUCGUAGGCGUGCUUCCUUGUAUGUAUGAGUGGCCGUCUUUACACGUACAUUCAUGAAGUGACGAGGGGUGGAAGUAAAGUGGUGUGUGAUUCGUCUGAUUUCGUACAAUGCUCUUGACGUGGUGCGAUGCUCUUUUUUUGGCGGCCCUUUCCGCAGAGUUCGAGACGUGGAUGUGAAGCACGACUUUGCCUUUGUUGUGAGUAUACCUCCUAAAUACGUGUUGUUCUGUAUAUAGCGUUGACAUUCUCCUCAUGUGUUUUAAAUAUGGUUGGAGUUUAUGCUCUCAAUUGUGAUAAUGCAUGAUUAUGAAAUGGUCUGUGUACUUGCUGCCCAACCCAAAUGAUUUCUUUCUUUGUAAGAAAAUAACGCCUUUUCACUUGUUUUGUAUUCAUUCCACAACGGUGUGGCGAUUUUGACCUGAACAUUUUGGUUUAUGUAUAUUUGUUGAGUGUGUACCGUUUAAUUCGUUCUGUCACUAUUUAUGUCUGUUAGGAUUUUGUGUCUUAUUAUGCCCAUUUAUAGUCAAAGCUGCUCAAUUUACAGCGUAUUCAAUUCUUCAGGAAUUCGCCGAUGCUCGAGAUGCGGAUGAUGCAAGACAUUAUGUGAACGGGAAAGACUUUGAUGGCAACAGGCUCAUUGUUGAGUUUGCGAGGAGGGUGAGUGUUACCAUUGAUGUUGGAGAUCAUCUCUUUGGAGAAUUUUUUUCCAUUUUUUUCUUUUGAAUGGAGACCUUGAUAUUCCUUGCUGUUUUUUUAAUGGUAUUGAAUUGUCUUUAAUGUGUAAUGUUGUUUUCUGAAAGUGUGAACAGCGUAAUGUAGCGUGGAUCCUGUUAAUAUUGUUUCUGAAUGACUCUGUCAACUGAGUAUACUCAUUUUUACUGUAGCGGAUGAUGGAUCAGGGACCCCGCGGUGCCUCAGGUGGUGCUCGUGAAUAUCUUGGGAGAGGCCCGCCUCCUGGCACUGGUCGUUGUUAUAAUUGUGGAAAUGAUGGCCAUUGGGCGAGAGAUUGCAAAGCAGGUGAUUGGAGGGAUAAGUGCUAUCGGUGCGGCCAGCGUGGGCACAUAGAGCGUAAUUGCCGCAACAGUCCAAGGCCGACAAGCAGGUGAGCUUCUAAGUGUUUUCCUUGCGACAGUUAAUCAAGAUAUUGCUGCGAAUCAGGCCAUAUUUUGCGAGCAGACUUAUUUGGCUCAACCUCUAAUGAAAUCAUUCGUUCUCUGCAUUUUUACAAGUGUGUGCCAUGUAUCGAGUUUCUUAUUGUGUGUUUCUGGUGCAGUCCGUCGCGUUCCCGCUCUCGGUCUCCUCGAGGGCACAAGAGGUCGUCUCGCAGAAGUGUUUCCCGUAGCCGAAGUCGCAGCUUCAGGUUUGUUCUCUCAACUGCUACCACAUUUGGUCGAAGUUCAUCUACUUAAUAUUAAUUUCUUGCGCUUAACAUAAAUAUGAACCAUCGGAAACUAGAAUAAGUCAUUUUUGCUGAUAAUCUCUUUGAUUUAUUCAGUCGUUCACCUCCUCGAAGGGGUCGUAGUCCUGCUAAGGCUGACCGCAGUCCCAUGAAGGAUGAUCGUAGUCCUGCCAAGGGUGACCGUAGAAAGUCAGAUCGCAGCAAAAGCAGGAGCCUGACUCCUCUGCCUAAGGAUGAGAAACGUAGUCUUUCUCCCAGCCCUGUCCCCAACGGGAGAAGUAUAAGCAGAAGCCCCGGAGCUCGUAGUCCGAGUCCAGAGGCUCAUCGUGGUGAGCAAAGUCCUCCACCCCGAGAGAAGAGGCGUAGUAUCAGCCCUAGCCCAGAGCAAGACUUGGAUAAGGGUAGUCCUGCUAAGGAUCUUUCACCCCUACCUCGAAGGAGUCUUACUCCCGAAGAAGAGUGAAAAUUUUCUUUGUAUUUAUUUUAGAAAACAUGGUCAUGGAGAUGGAAGACAUGCAUGGUAAGAAGGGACCAGGUUUGCACAAUCUGGCGUAGUCUUCUAGUAGUUAGUAUUCCUUUUUGUAUGUGCAUGCAUUGUGGACUUUGUUGGGUUGAGAUGCUCAAUUUUACUUAUGACAUCCACCAUGACCUGUGAAUGAAAAUACUUUCAUCAAAUUGAGUGUCUUAUAUUCUGAAUUUCUAAAAUAUGCUGGGAUGUUUCUUUGCUUGAAAUUCUAUGUUUGCCUGAAUGCAUCCUCUAAGCUCUACAGUUUCUAACGAAUUUUUGUACCCUUUUAUGCCAUGAGUGUUAUACCCUCAUUUCAGUUGUCGUUGGAUCUCUUUAUUAGCUUCCUUUUUUCUGGAAUGAAGUCAAGGUGGAAAAUGAACUAGAAUUUGUUUGCCAAUGGUCCUUGCAUUGAUUCCACAAAGUUGACAGUACUUUAAAAUUGAUUGGCCAGGUCAUUUCUAAAUCUCAUUCUACAAAAUUCCUGCUAAAUGAAUGUGUUUACUAUUUAUGUGCAGCAUUCUUCCGAGAGAUUUUAGCAUUAACUCUCGGUACUGUUGCCCUAGGAUAAAUCAAACCAGCUGCAAGUUGAACACUGUCAAUUAAAUAAAUACCUUUGGGAAAAUACAAAACAAUGUCAUGGUGGGCUUGGUUGGCGAGACUUUGGAAGUAUUUUUAGUAGAAUUUUGGUCCAUGUAUAGAAAACAUGAUGCAACUCAUAUUGCAACCAAUAAGAUCCGUAUUUUGUAAGAAGCCAAUUGAUCUGUAAGAUUAUAUGCUUUACAAUUUUGAUAACUUAUAAUUGAUAUCGAAUGGAAUGAUGCUGCACUUAUUAGCCAAUUUUUUUACGGAUUAGAAUAUGAAGUAAAGAAAUCGAUGUUCAACUUAUCUAAUCCUCAAACAUUAAGUCAAGCAAUUGAUUUUGCUGUGAAGUGCAACAAUCAACUUUUUGAAUUUCAAUCUGAGAAUUGCACAAGUGGGCCUCAACAUUACUACAAUUUGAUGGAAAUACCAACAUCUCUUCAACACAUAUAUUUAGAAGUAGAGGAUAUGCAAAUCGAUGUGGUAUAUGUUAAACUUCUUAUCGAGCAAAAAAAAAAACUUGUUGCUGUCAAGAAGGAUUAUGCUUGUAUUGUGGAGAAUCUAAACAUACUGCUCAACAUUGUCCAAAGAAGUCACAAAAUUAUGAAAUGAGGAGCACAAUUGUCAAAGAAGACAAUGUGUAAAAAAAUAAAUUUGUCCAGCUAUAAUAGGAACCGUGUGGCUGAAAUUUUGUACAAUUUCUAAUGAAGGUCCUAUCUUCUCUUCAAAACCUUCUUCUUAUUUUAUAAAAGAUAUGCAUUUAGGACCUAAUAAUUAUAAAGCCUCUACCUUGAUAGAUUCAGGAGCCUCAGCUUGUUUCUUAGAUAUAGAAUUUAAUAAAAGUCAUAAAAUAUCGUUAGUACAAAAAACUAAACUUGUUCAUGUAGAAGUCAUAGAUAGUCAUCUAUUGUCUUCUAGAGAUAUUACUCAUGAAACACUUCCUAUAGAAGUAGCAAUAAAUAGUCAUAGUACUUACGUAAUCUUUAAUAUAAUUAGAUCUAUUUCUAAUUCAAUCAUUUUAGAUUUAUCAUGGUUAGAAAAGUAUAAUUCUUGCAAAGAUUGGAUUUUUUGUACUCUUGACUUCUCUAAAAGUAUAACUAAGAAUGAAAUUAAUUUAGUAGAAAGUAAUAAAUCUAACAUAAUAAAACUUGUGUUUGUAGAUAUGAGAGCUUUCUUGCAUGCUACAAAAGAAUGAUCACCUUGUGUCAUUUAUGCCACACCUAUUUCUAAUGAUGCAAAGACUUCAAGUGUCAUUCCAAGCCAAUAUCAAGAGUUUCAAGAUGUAUUUGAGAAGAAGAAUGUGAAUACUCUUCUAGAACAUCAUUCCUAUAACUACUUAAUUAACCUUCAAGAAGGAGCACAAUUGCUAUUUGGACCAAUCUACAGUUUAUCAGAAUAUGAAUUAGUUGUACUCAAAGAAUAUAUUGAAGAAAACCUAGCCAAGAAUUUUAUAUGCCAUUCCAAAUUGCUAAGAAGAGCUCUAAUCUUAUUUGUGAAGAAGAAAGAUCGAUCAUUGCAAAUGUAUGUUGAUUAUUGAGGACUCAAUAAGAUUAUCAUGAAGAUUAGAUGCAUUCUAUCUUUGAUAUUCGGACUUCUUGAUCAACUAAAUCAAGCUAUGAUCUACACAAAAAUAGAUUUAUGAGGAGCAUAUAAUCUACUACAUAUUAAAGAAGGAGAUGAAUGGAAGAUUGUAUUUUAAACUAGAUAUAGAUAUUUUGAAUACAAUUUCAUGCCUUUUGGACUUACAAAUAUAUUGGUAGCUUUUCAAUAUUUAUUGAAUAAUAUUUUUUUGAAAGUUAUUGCAUAAUUUUUUUAUCUAUUAUCUACACAAUAUCUUGAUCUAUUCUAAGAAUACAGAUCAAUAUGAACUUCAUAUUUAUUGUGUAUUACAAAAAUUAAGAGAUGUGAGUCUCUAUGCUAAGAUAAAAAAGUGUGUAUUCUACACUACUAAAGUUGACUUGUUAAGAUACAUCAUUUCAAAUGAUGGACUUAUGAUGGAUUCUAAGAAAAUUCAAACUAUUAUGAAUUGGAAGAUUCCAAAAACGAUAAGAGAUAUUCAAUGCUUUUUGGACUUUGUCAAUUAUUAUUGGAUCUUCAUCAAAGACUUCUCUUGAGUUCAAGCUCCACUUACACGUUUUCAUAUAACAAGUUAUUUUGCUUAGGAAUGCACUGGGCACCUAGCUGGGGAAGGUGAGAUUAUGUUUCACAAGUAGCCAAAAAAUUCUAAUAGGUUUCACCCAUACAAGAAGAAUAUAAUCUAAAUUUCAAUUCAAAAGUGCUUAAAAUACUCUUCUUAGUAGUCUUAAACAUACAUACAUCCCAAUUACCUUAUUACUUUUAUAUUUAAGCAAUUUAGAUUUUUCUUAUAAAUCCCAAUUCUAAUCAAUGAGCUUUAACAAGCUAUAACAUCCAAUCCGACUAUCCACUUGAUGUGGAAUUUUGCAUGAAAUUGUCAAUAUAAGUCUUCUAUAUGAUUAAGAAUUUUUAGUCCAAUCCAAAUUACAAAUUAUGAAAAAACCUCCAAAAAUUGAACUAAUGUCACUCGACCACCAACUUAAAAAGUGAAGCAAAAAUCUCAGCAAUAAUUUCUCCCUUUCCAAUUAUUAGCUUUGCUUCAAAAUUGGUAUGUAGCUUGAUCUUCAAGUCAUUCAAUACCAUGCCAAUUUUCACCUUAAUUUGACUGAUAGAUCUUUAGAUAUCAUAGAAAUCCUAUCCAACCUCAAACUGCCACCUUUUGAAACCCUCUUGUGCUAAAAACUAGAUAUCUCUAAACCACGCCAUUAGAUUAUCAAAAAAAAUUGUAUACACUUAGCACACCCAAUUAUCCAAAAAUUAUCAAGUUUUUAACUAUAGAUGUCACACUAAUUAUACAAACAAGCCAAAAUUGCUAGCCCUAAUUAUAUUAUAUGAAAUCCAAAUUACUGAUACAAACCCUGACUUUGAACAACAAUUGCUAAGUCUUCCAAUACCCUUUUAAAACGAUUCUUAUGUCUUUGAAAAGAACUUCAAGCUAGCUCUCAAAAUCUAAUCUCUAAUCUUCAAAUGACUCCCUAUUUUGCCCUAGGCCAUUAUUUUAGUGGCCAGAGGUCUGAUUUCGACCCUGUCUCACAAAUGGUCAAUCUCUGGGUAUCAAUCUAAUCUAUCCGAAGGCUUUUUUUAGCCCAAUCCUAUUUUCAACUUAACCACAAUAUCAACUAUAAUAAUUAUUUAUCUCUUCUAAUCUGAUUUUAUUAAUUUAUGGUCUUUCUAAGAUAGUAGAAGAGUCUCUACAACCUAGAAGGUAAAAUUAUUAACUAACCUUCAACCUACUAACUAUUAAGAUAAGAAAAUAACCUAAGAGGAUUUUAUAAAAGCCAUGUUUAGAUACCUCAAAUUAUAAUUGAAUUAAGAUAAUUAGAUAUUAAUUAAAAAUUCAACUUUGAUUACAAUUUUACUAUAUAGUCGUAUUACAACACGACAAUGUUUGACUUGCAAAGACAAACUUGAGUGGAGCAAAGAAGCUAAAGCAUCUUUUGAAGCUUUGAAGUUAGCUUUUAUUUUUGUACCAAUCUUGUAUCAUGUUGAUUUUUCUAAGGUAUUUUUUAUGAAAACAAAUGCAUCAGACUUUGCUUUAGGUGUCAUACUAUUAGAAAUAAGAAUAGAUGAUAAACUUCAUUUAAUAGCCUUUUAUUCCAAAAAAAUUUCAACAGUCAAGAUUAACUAUGAAAUUCAUGGCAAAGAGCUUCUUGCAAUCAUGGAUUCAUUUCAAGAAUAAUAUCAUCAUGUAGAAGGUGCUUCUAAUCUAGUCGCCAUGUAUAUAGACCACAAGAAUCUCGAGUACUUCAUAUCAGCAUGUAUUUUGAAUCAUUGCCAAGCCCAUUAGAACAUGUCUUUAUGAAGAUUUGAUUUUAAGAUCACAUAUUGAUCCAAAAAAUAACAAGGUUUGUUAGAUGCAUUUUUAAAUGUUCUUAUCUUAUACUAAAAGAAAGAAAUGCAUCUUUUGAUCAACAAAGAAUGAUUCUCUUGAAGCCAAAGCAUUUUCAUCUUCAAGUAAUGAAAUCAACACUGAUUGUUGAUUCCACCUUUGUAAAAUAAAUCCAAUUAAGUAUGUCUUGUGAUCAUCUUAUUUACAAUAUUAAGAAUAUUUCUUUUAAUAUCCAAGGUACUUCUAAGUUUGAGUUAAAAAACAACCUACUCUAUUUCAAAGGUCAAUUAUAUGUUCCAAAAAGAGAAGCAUGAUUAUGUGUUCUUUAAGCAUGUCACAACUUUCUUACAGCAAGACAUUUUUGAUACAACAAGACUUUAGAGCUUAUAUCCAAAGAUUUUUGGUAGCCACAAAUGUGGUAGGGUGUGAAACACUUUGUUCAGUCAUGCAACAUUUGUUCAAGAUCAAAAACUCUCCGUCAUCUACCUUACGGACUUUUUCAACCAUUAUCCAUUCUAGAACAACCGUGGUCUUUUGUUUCUAUGGAUUCCAUCAUAGAUCUUCCAAUCUUAGAUUCUUAUGAAUCUUUAUUCGUAAUAAUAGAUCAUUUUACAAAGAUGGCAUAUUUUGUACCAUGUUCAAAAUCUAUCAUAGGAGAAGAAAUAACUAAAUUCUUUCUUGACAACAUCUAUCGCUAUUAUGGAUUAUCUAAGGAUAUCAUAUCAAAUAGGAAAAUUCAAUUUGUAUCAAGAUUUUGGCAGACUCUUUUCAAGAUUCUUAAAGUGGAUAUAAAAUUAUCUUUGACAUUCUAUCCUCAAAUUGAUGGAUAAACAAAGUGUGUUAAUGCAAUUUUGGAGUAAUAUUUAAGAUGUACCAUCAACUACUAAUAAGACAAUUGGAUAAUUCUUUUGCCAUUGGCAAAGUCUGCUUAUAAUAAUACAGUACAUUCUUCAACAAAACAAACACCUUUCUUUGCCAAUUAUGGUUAACAUCCAUGACUUAAUACUUUUGACUUUUUAAAAGUUGAUAAUCUUGUGACAGAAGAUUUGGCAAAUCGUUUGUCAAAGUUAUAUGCAACAAUGAAGGCGUAAUUAAAAAAAGCUCAAGAACAACAAAAGAUCAAUGUAGAUAUCUAUUAAAAGAAACAACCACCAUUCCAUGUAGGUGAUAAGAUAUGGUUACUUCAUCAUAAUAUCAAGAUUACUUAUCCUUGUGAUAAGUUGGACUAUUGUAGGCUUAGACCAUUUCUUAUUUCUGUACAAAUUGAUCUAGUUGAAAUUAUCGUUUAUACCUAUCGGAGUCAAUGAAAAUCCAUCUAAUAUUCCACGUGUUUCUUCUUGAAUCAUACAAAACAGUGGACAUACUAAGAAGAAGACAAGUACCACCUCAUCCUUUAGAAAUGAACAAUAAUGAAGAAUUUGAAGUAGAAGAAGUCUCAGAUUCAAGGCAAUGCCAAAAUAAGUUAGAAUAUCUUGUUUAUUAAUGUGGAUACAAUAUUAGUGAACGCACAUGGGAGCCAAUAAAGAAUCUUACAAAUGUAGCAAAGAAGGUAGAGGCUUUUCAUUGAUGACAUCCAUCAAAAUCAAGAUGAAGAUCUUUCCUAUAAAAAAAACAAGAUUUAGGCAAGAUAAUAUUCUACUUUCAAUCCUUGUUUGUAGCUUCUUUUUAUUUGUGACACUGAGAAGAUGGAAGAUCAACAACCAUUGGAUUCGAUUGAAGAGCCUUUGUUUGCUGAACUAUUAGAGAAGACAUUACGAUUGUUACAACCUUCAAGAUGAUGCAAUCAAGAUGAAGAUCCUCAAGAAUGACAUGUUUUCCUUCAAAUAAAUGGUAAGAUACAACUCAUUUGAUAUUAUAACCUUAGAAGAGACUCCUGAUGUUUGGUAAUUUUAUUAGGGAUAGGAACAACUUUUGACAGUAUUUCAAAUAUUUUAUUUGAAGGAAGUUAUGAAGGCCUCAACAAUGAUCAAAUAAUAAGGUGGUCUUCCUGCCCUGGUAUGGGACACUAUCGAUGGUUGAGAGGCUUUAUCAACCAUCUUUGAAGAGAAAAAAUAUCUAAGUAUGUGGCAAAUAUACCUUGUCAUAUCAUAGAUUUUUACAACAUAUGAUGACUACUUCUUAUAGAUCUCAUCCCUAGAAGGGAGGAUAAUAUCAUGGACAUACACAUAUAAGCCAAUAAUUACUUGUAUAAAUAAAUAGAAAUAGAUAGAAGUAUGUAAAAAUAAAUUAAUUCUAUAAUAUCUUUUAAAAAAACUUCUUAGAAGCUUCAUAGAUGGUGCUUUGACUUUACAAGUAUCCAUUGUUGACUUUUAGAUUAAAAACUUGGUCAAUAAGUUAACCAUGUACCAUAUAUAUUGAUAACUUAAAGAACAAGCUAACUAUGUGGCAAUCAUAAAGAAAAACUUACCUUGUAAGUUAAGGAUUGUGUCCUACAAAGUCAAUACAUAUUGCAAGUCCUAUAGAACAUCGUCAUGUAGCCCUUAGUUAGAUAGUAUAUUUAUAAAUAAGAAUGAAGUCCUCUUCAAUUUUUUCCAUUCUUUUCUUGCUUCUAAUCUAGUUUUAAGAGUCUCAAGUUUUCUUGUCUUUUGGCAAUAAGCCAUUCCUGUUUCUUUUUAAUAUAUGUACUUUCUUAAUUCUAUUUUGUCACUUUUUCUUUGACAUGGAUUUCAUUGGUUUAUGCAUCAUCUUUCAGUUCUUGUCCUUGACAGCUAUUAAAUUAAAGGUUGUCCAAAACGUCAAAAAUCAAUCACCAAUAAAACAAGGCGGAUUCAUAGUCUUGAGACUAACAAAGUUGAUAAUGUUAUAAAGUAGAAAAAUAAAAAUGUCUAGUAAAGGAGUCAAGGGCUAAUACUAGAGAUAGCUAUUAUUUCUUUGAGACAAAUGGCAGAGCCUCUGAUAACUAUAAAAAAGAUGGACUAGUGCAUCUAAUGAAAUUACUAAGAAAAUAGCCAUGUCGGGUGUUUGUUGAUUGUGGCUCUAAAAAAAAUUACAUCUCAACUAAAAUUAUCAACCGACUUGGAAUUAAAAAUAAGGUAAUUAAUUCAGAAAGUGUAUAUCUUAAAGAUGCCUAAAAAAAUGUAUCGAGUGAAUGAUAUGAAAAAAAAAAGUCUUCACGUUGAUUGAUAUGUACAUCUUAAGAAAGAGAUUUAAGGUAAUAAAGUUAAGAUAUGAUGUUAUCUUUGGUAUGUUAUGACUAGAGGUGGAAAAUAAGUGAGUUGAUUGGAUAGCAAGAACAAUCUUCUUCAAAGAUAGUAGAUACAAGGUCAUUCUUUGUACCUCUACAUCAAGUGAAAAGAAGAAAAAAAACUACAACUAAAGACCUACUUGUAGGAAUGACCUUUAUAAAGAGACAAAUACAACAUAAUCAAUUAAUAUAUAUGGUGGUUUUAAAUUUUACAUCAAUGGUAGGAAAGACAAUUAAAGGAGUAGAAUAGACAGAUCAAUUCAUAUAAAAAUAUCGAGAUGCUUUUUCAACCGACCUAUCUAAUAACAUGCGUCUUGAUCGAAGUGCCUCAUUUCAAAUAAAACUAUUAUUUGGAGCCAAACUAGUAAGUCGACUAAUUUAUUAUGGAACACCAAAUAAACUUGAAGAGUUGUAAAAGACAUUAGACAAACUCUUAGAAAAGGAUCCCAUUUAAGAAAGCAGAUCAGUAUGGAGAGCACAUGUAUUCUUUGCAUCUAAGAAGGAUAGUAGACUUUGGCUUUUCAUCAACUAUUGAGACCUCAAUAAGUAGAAUGUUAAGAAUGCAUAUCCACUUCCAUGUGUGGAUGAUCUUCUUGAUCAACUUUGAGGUGUAACCAUCUAUAGCAAAUUAGAUCUUCAAAGUGGCUAUUGAUACAUACCAAUUGCAAGAGAGGAUAUAUGAAAGAUAACUUUUGUACGUACUAUAUAUAUUUUUAUCGGCUUAUUUUACCUUUUGGUCUUAUCAAUGCUCAUAAUUCUCAAAGGUUUUAUUAUAUAUGAAAAUAUUAUCAAUGAAAAAAACUACAUACUUGUCCAAAAGAUACUAAAAUAAUUUGUUUAUGUGACCCAUGAAAGAGAGAGGUAUUGCACUGGCUACAAGAUAGUCACUUCUAUUGCAAAUAAUCAAAAUGUGAACUUUGGAAGUUAGAAGUCUCUUCUUUAGGGUAUGUAGUGACAUCUAAAGACAUACUCAUGGAGUAAUAUAAGGUGAAAGCAAUGGAGGAUUGGCCAACCCCUAAAGAUAUUUAUGAAAUUUGCUCGUUUUUAAGCAUGCAGUAUAUUAUUACCAUUUUGUUUAGCAAUUUGUAUACAUUAUUAUUUCAUUGAUAAAUCUAUUGAAGAAGGAUGUUCCAUUAGAAUGGAAACAAGAAUAGCAAAUCACCUCUAAAAAGUUGAAGGAUGCACUUAUUACUAUUUUAAUAUUACAAUUAUAUGAUUUCAACCUUCCUUAUAUACUUGAUAUUAAUACUUCCAACUUUGCUAUUGGAGUGGUCCUUCAACAAGACUUUAGUAGGGGCCUUCAACCUAUGGCAUAUGAAUCUUGCAAGCUUAGAAGGAUAGAGUGCAAUUACUCUGCACGUAAUUGAGAAUAAUUAACCAUUGUACGCAUGACAAAGAUGUGGUAAUACUAUUUAUUAGAAAAAUUAGUGGUUGUUUAGACUGACCAUCGAUCUUUGCUACAUGAUUUGUACCUAGAAAAUAUGAAAUCACAACAUCAUUGUUGAAAAAAAAAAUUGUAGCUUUUUAAUAUUGAAUUUGAAUACAAGCAAAGACAACAACAUAUUGUACUAGACAACUUAUCACAAAGACAAGUCUUGAAGGUCAAAUCAGAAGAUAAGACAAAAGUUGCUAUCACUACUAGUAUCAUUUCAAACUUAACUAAAGAGACAGAAUGGAAAGAAGCUACACAUUGAGAUGCUUAUUUUAAGAUGGUUAGUGAUCGAUUGAGAAUAGGUGAUAUACAGUAUCAAGAUUACAAUCUUAAUAAUGGCUUAUUUUAUUUUAAGAAGCAAAUUUAUAUACCUAAUAAUGUUAUACUUUGGAUGCACAUAUUUCAAGAAAGACAUGAAAUUCUAAUAUCUAGACAUCUAGGGUGAGAAAAGACUUUAGAACAGAUCUCAAAGACAUAAUUUUGGAUAGAUCGAAAUUGUGAUGUUUGAGCUUUUGUGUACUCUUGUGACUCAUGCCAAUGUAACAAGACAUACAAUAUAGCAUCUCUUUGACUAUUGUAGCUAAUUCUAUUAUCUAUGGCUCAUUGAAAGGAGGUGGCUAUGGAUCUCAUUAUGUAUUUGUUGCAUAUGUCUUAUAAUCACACUACAAUUUUUGUCUUUGUUAAUCAAUUCUUGAAGCAACUUUAUUUGGCCAUGGAGUAUUCAAAUAUUGAUAUCUUAGUGCUUCCACAGGGUUUCUUUGAUACUGUCUUUUGUUACUAUGGAUUAUCCCGUAUCAUUGUUUCAAAUCAAGAUCCAUACUUCACAAGAAGUUUUUGGCAAGUCUUAUUCAAGGUACUAGGUACACAACUUGCCAUGUCUAUAGCCUUCCAUCCUCAAACAAAUGGAUAAAUAGAGUAUACAAAUCACACCUUAGAAGAUAUAUUGCAUGCAUUUGUGGAAAUUCAUCAUAAUAUUUGAGAUGAAUAUUUGAUGUCCUUGAAGUUUGCUUAUAAUGAUAGUAUUCAAGCAAGUAUCAAUCAUUCACUAUUUUUCUUUAACACCAAUCAACAUCUAAUUAUGCUAGCAAUACUCCAUCGUCCCAUUAAUACCAACAACCUCACAAUAGAGGAGUUUAUACAAUGGCUUACAAUGGCCUUACAAAAAGAACAAUAUCACAUUCUUACCAUAUAAAAUCUACAAAAGUAAUAUGCAAAUAACCAUCGACAAUACAAGACCUUUUGAAAGAGUGAUCAAGUGUUAUUUUUCAAUGCCAACUUCCUACUUACUACAUCAAUCCAAAUCCGUAAACUGACACCUUGGUGGCUUGGACCUUCCUAUAUUUCUGUAGUGAUUUUUGAUAUUGCAUACUACCUUGAGCUUUCGCCAUAUAUUUAAGUCCAUUUAAUCUUCCAUAUUUUGCAAGUAAAAGAAUUUUAUACCAAGCCAAAGUACUUUUCAGAUUGAUAUCAACCACCACUAUUACCAGCUAUAGUUGAUGAUCAAUAAGAAUAUGAAAUAGAUAGCAUUUUGGAGCAUCGCUACCUUUAUUGUGGAAGUGGAUGUCUACAACUUCAGUACAAAGUUCUUUGAAAAGGUUAUCCCAUCUACAAUGCAAUAUAAGAAUAUGCACAUAACCUCACCUAUUGCCAAGAAAUAAUUUGGAGAUACCAUUGAAAGCAAAGCAAGGACAUUUUGGAUUAGAGGAAGAAAAUUAACUAUAACAUGGUAUAUAUAAGAUAUUUAUAUUUUGACACAUAGAGAUAGAUAGUUGGAACCAUGUUUGAGAAGUUAUAGAAGUUUCUAGAAUUGAAGCUAGGUUAAUGGAUUAUAUAAGAUUCAUCAUGGAACAUUCUAGAAAGAGCUUAAGGCGGUUAUUUAAGUAGGGCCUUCUAUAGAACCUUCUAAAAAGAAUUUAGAGUGGUUAUCUAAGUAGGAUCCAUCAUCUAGAAACAUUCUAGAAAGUCUAGGAUAACAAAAUAAAGUAUAAAUAGGACUCGCCAAGUAUAAAUAGGGAUAUUUGCUCAGAUAUAGCUUCAGUCUUUUUCUUUCAAUAAAAUUUUGUUUGUAUUUUUUAUUUUUUUCUAUUUUGUUCUAUUUCUUUUUGCUUUGUUUUUUAUUUGAUGUUCUUUUUUGUUUACUUCUGUUCAAUCUUGUUCUAGUCCAUUUUGUCCUAUUUUGUGAUGGAAUUUAUGUUGCUAUAGAUUGAAAGGAUUUUAGAUCUUUAAGAGAAUUUAAUUUCUUUUCAAUGUUCUUUGCAAGGAUCUUUGAAGUAAAACUUAUAGAAGAAAAUUUGAAAUCUAUACUUUAUAUUAGUAAUUUUUUUGCCAAUUUUUAUAACACCACACUUUUUGUUGAUUUUCAUUGCACCACAUCUUUUGCUAAUUUUCAUUGUACCACACAUAUUACUAGCUUUCAUUGCAUUGCACUACAAACUAGAAACUUUACAUCUAAUUUCACAUCUUCUUUCAAUAGAAUAAAGGCAAGUGGAUGUUAGUCUCUCAAUUCAACUCUGCCAUUCUUCUUAUCUUUACCAAAGCAAUCACCUUUGAGAAGAUCUAGAAUAUAGAAUUUGAUUGAAGAAUGAUGCAUCAAAUUUUGUCUUAGUCUUUGUAUGCUUAAAUUUUUUUAGAGCUUCUUUAUUUUUUAAUUACAAUUUUUGAAUAACUUACUUAAAGAAUUUUGAUCUUGAUAAAAGUCUAAGUUUAGACUAUCACUUUAUAUAUAAGAGAAAUUUGAAUUAGGUUAUAUAUCAAGAAAAUAUGGUUGAUAUAUAGGUAAUAAUUAAGAAAAAUAUAUAAUUUUCAAAAAAUAAUGAAGAUAAAAAGCUCUAAAAGAUGAAAGAUUGUCUAGAAAUUGAAUUAUAGGUCAGAUAUUCUUCAACCAUAAUAAACCUACUUCAACAGUAGAUGAGGUCUUGAAGCCAAGUAUUCUCCUCUUCAAAAUAGGAGUAGCAUGCAUUAUUAGAUUCUUACAAUUUUUAAGCUCAAUAUUAUUAUUUGCAGAGAUGUAUUCACCUCUGCGCAAAAUCUCUAUAUACCAAUUCUUGUCCAUGCUACAAUUAUCUAGUCUCUCUUUGAUCUUGUAAUAAAUUAGUGAAGCCUUAUCCAAUUCUAUUAACUUUCUUUCUUAUGGCAAUUGCAUCUCUACUUCAAACAUUGUAGAAUCUUGAGUAUUAUCCAAUAUAAGAGCGCCAAGAAUUGAAAGGACAAAAUCUUAAUAUGAAUUACAAAUGAUUUAUAGUACAAAGAGAUGAGGUUUAAGGAAUAAAUUUUUGAAGAUCAUUUAUAUGGAACAAGUAGAUAUUUUAUUAAUAUUUAAAUCACAAAAAAAUGAUGAAAUAAUAAUAUUAUAAGUUGAAAUUUAAAUUUAUAGGAAUUUAUUAGUAUGAAGGUGGGAUCUUGAUUAAAGCUCACAUACAAUAGUAGGGUGACUUUUUUUGUAGGUAUUUUGUGCAAUAAGUAAGUUUAAUUGCAACACAUGUCUUUUGUGCAAUAGAUGCAAAUACUACAUUAGCUCAUAUACUAAGUGAGUUCUAUUUUUACUAUAAAAAUCUCUCUUUCAGUCACACACACAUAUAUAUAAUUUCUUCUUCAAAUAAUUAUCAAAAGUGAUUUCAUGCUAUAUGACUUGUUUCUAAGUUAUGGUUGUUGUCCUUUAUGUUUAAUAGUGCGGAGUUGAUGCUUAAGUAGUAUGUAUGACCUCAAAAUAAGCAAUCAACAAUAUUUAUAUUAUAUUUGAAUAUAAAUUUUGUCUCAACUUCUUGGUACCCUCUCUUCUUCUUUUAUUCUUUCUUAUUAUUGCUUUCUCCCUCUCUUUCAUAAUAAGCCUUCUUUCAUUAGAUUCAAAAAAAAUAUACAACUCAUACGAAGAAUUGUACAAAGACAUUCAAAUCCAUGUAGCAAAUUGUGGCUAUGCUAUUAUGACUAGGUGCUUAAAGAAAGACUGCAGCAUGUGGUACUAUUAUGACUAUAGCAAUGGCUACAAAAGCAUAGUUCUUGAGUUUUCUUGAAAAUAGUGGCCAAAAAAAUACAUAUAGUUCCAAAGAAAUAUAUGUAUAUAUCAUUUGUUUUGUCAUGCAUUUACAACUCCUUAGUCUUUGACAUGAAUUAGAAUACUUGCUCAAGAAGGAUGUAUUAAUUUCUAUUUAUCUUAGUUUAAUAACAAAACUAAUCAAAAAGCCUUCAAAAGAUUUUAAUUAAAUUUAGAAUUGAUCCAAGAAGCAUGUAAAAUGAACUAAGUUGUGGAGCAUAAUAUAUUUUUCUCAUUAAUUAGCAAAUAAACUAUAUAUAUAUAUAUAUAUAUAUAUACACACAAAACCAACCAAGUACUAUGAUUCUUUUGAAAUAAUUGUAAAUCUUAACUUAAAAAUUUAAAAUAUUUAGAGAAUUUAAAAAUAAAAUCUACAGAAUAAUUCAGGAGACAAAAUAAUGAUUUAAGUUCUUUUCUGUAGUUGGUACAGUAUUAAAUAUUUAUAAAAACCACAUUUUGUGUAAAAUAUAACCUUUUUGAUGCUUCCUUGGUUAUUAAAUAUUUAUAUUUUAAGUCAAUGUACUAAAGUUUGUAAUAAAAAAUAAAAAAUAAAAAAAUAUCGUCAAACGUGUAUUUGGAAUAACUUCAACAAAAUAAAGAUACUCCAUCGUCCAACAUAAUGUCAAGUGAUUAAAAAAACUAAAAAGAAGAACUAAUAAAACAACCCUAAAGGCAUGGAAAAACCCUAAAAACACGCCACAAGCCCACAAGCAAACGGGGAGGAAGAGUCGCGGAUCUCCAGCGUGGAAGAUUGCCAAGCUCGCGAGAGUGGAUUGUGGGGCGAGGGUGGUGGACAGGGAUGGAUGUGUGGAGAAACGAGGAGGAGGAGCCUGGACCCGGCAAUGGAAAAGGGCCAAAAAGGACCCUGCUGUUACUGCAGCCAUAGCUAAUGGAGAAAGCGCUGCUGCUGCUGCGUUUUUCUUCCAAAUACAGUGUUGGAUGAUACAGUAGUGCAGUUUGGCUUGGCAACCUCGGUUGGAUGAGGAGGAUGAGCAGCAGCACCAGAAGUGCAGAUUGCGACGAGUUGCUGUGCGUCUAAUCUGGAAGCGGUCUAGUCUCCAUCGUUGGCAAGGCUCGGAGUGGGUUUUAUAGUUGAGCACUUGGGGUGAAGAAUGCAGCGGGAUGUGAUAGAGCUUUGCUUCUCAUUAGCUCUUCCCCUUUCCACUGUCUUCAUCAGGAUGCUUCACAGAAGAGAGUACCUGUAGGACGUGAGGCGGGGUAGAGUUAAUGCAGGACAGGGGGACGUCACAAGGAGCUAGUCUCGAGAGCAGCGUCUGUUGUAGAUUACUCCUGGUACUGGUCUUUGUUUUUAUUGCACUAGGUGGUGUUUUGCUCCUGGGUUAUUUUAUUUUAUUUUGUUUCAUUUUUUCUGUUGUAGGGUUAGGGUUCUUCUGAUGCUUGGAUGUAGGAUUGGAAUGCUGCGUGGGCACAGGCCAUGGGAGAGAAGAUAACUCAUAACUUUUGAGUUUCAUCGCCGAGGAAGCACAAAUUUGUGUCAGAUAGCCGUGAAAUUUCCGUGCAGAGGUGUUUGAAAGGGGAUGAGUUGUUGAGCAGACGCAGGAAGAUCAAAAAUACGCUGGACUUUUCUUUGUCUUUUGAGUUCGUGGUGUUCGUAUCUUUGACGUCUCUGAGAAGGAUAGAGUAUAUCUGCUGGCAUUCGGGUUCAGAACAGAAGUCGAUUGGUCGUGCGGGGUUUAGCCGUCGUGAUGGCGGACGAUGCCCGGGAACGAGGUGGAGAUUAUAUUGCAGUGGGUAAUCUGGACGAGGAUUCUCAGCCUUCGAAUAGGAACCCGAAUUCUUCCUCACAGGGCUACUUCUCGUCGUUUCCUGGGAGUAUCAAGUAUCUGGUAUGGAACGAAUUUUGCGAGCGAUUCUCCUUCUAUGGAAUGAAGACAAUCCUUGCGCUUUACUUGGUGCAACAUCUCCGGUUGAGCGAGAACGAAUCCACAGAACUCGUGCACCUCUUUAUUGUCGCGUGCUAUGCCACCCCGAUCCUGGGCGCCUUCAUCAGUGAUUGCUACUGGGUACACACAUCACAUUCUUUCCAAUUGACUUUGAUUCCUCGUAAAAGGAAUUUGAGCCCAUUAUAUUGAAUCAGUUCGUAUGAGUGCACUUAAGAAAAUUCUGUAGUGCUAACAAUUUCAUUGCCAAGUUGUUCCAGAGGGAGACAUUCACUAAAUGCUGCGGAACCAUUGCUAUGAGCCUUAGAGCCUUGUAUUUUCCUUUUUGAUGACAUAAUGUGAAGCUCCUGCAAAUGAAUCUAUUACAUAUCAGCAGUGGUAUGUAAACCAUGAUUAUGUACUAUCAAUUCUUCCUGAGACAUGGUUUUAUCUGAGAUCAUUAUGGUAAUCCUUGAUAUUUACCUUGCUCAUCUCUCCAUGCUCACUUCUCAUUUCUACCAACAUGUAACUGUAGUUCUCUCAGGGGCUAACGGUUCAUUCAACUUGUGCAGGGAAAGUAUCGCACUGUUCUCUACUUAUCAAUGGUGUAUUGCAUUGGAAACUGGCUUAUGGCUGCUUCUGCCUUGCCCAAGGCCGAUCCCACCAUACAGCGCACUCUCUUUUGGUCCACAGCGGGUGCCUUGGGGUUGAUUGCAUUUGGCACUGGUGGAAUCAAACCCUGCGUAGCGGCUUUCGGCGGUGAUCAGAUUCAAUACUCACUACCAGACGGCCCGACGAAGGAGCGUCUGCACCGUCAAUUCUUUUCCCUGUACUACUUCGCAGUGAAUGCGGGGUCAGUCCUCUCGACCAUCCUGACCCCAGUCCUCCGGGCGGAUUUCUCCUAUGCAAUUGCCUUUGCUGUCCCAGCUGCUCUCAUGAUGUGUGCCUUGCUCAUCUUCUGGUUGGGACGCAAGACAUACGUGGACCGUCCUCCAGAAGGCAACGUCUUUGCGGAGGUAGGUGGGGUUGUUGUGGACGCCAUCAAGCUUCGCAGGAGCAGGGGGGGAGGAAGCCACUGGCUAGACAGUGCUAGAGCUAAACAUGAUCCGGGCGUUGUCGAGGAUGUGAAGGGGCUCAUGCGUGUGUUGGCCUUGCUCCUCCCGACUCCCCUCUUCUGGUCCCUCUUCGAUCAACAGUCUUCCAAGUGGGUCUUUCAAGCUAACACUAUGGAUGGCCGCGUUCCAUGGCUGUUCAAUAUCACCAUCCAGCCCGACCAGAUGCAGGUUCAUAGCUUAAGCUUCUCCUCUCUUCUCAAUGAAGAUCAGUAUUAUUAUUAUUAUUGUUGUUGUUGCUGCUGCUGUUUUUAUUACUAAUAAUACAUGGCGUAAAUUAUUGAUCACAAACCCUGAUCGAUUUCUCUGAGCUCAAGUGGCAAGACUGAAAUAUUUUUCUGCUUUCGUUUGAGUUUUUGUAUUGAAUUUAUACUUUUUUCGUUGGAUUGGUUUUGUGUUUUAUGCAGGCCCUCAAUCCUGUGCUCAUCCUGGUCAUGAUCCCCCUAUUCGACCAAAUCAUAUACCCAUUUCUCGAGUACCACCGUUUCUCACUGCGGGCGGUGCCAAGGAUGGUCAUUGGGAUGAUUUUGAGUGCAAUUGCAUUCUUGUUUUCCGGCCUCUUGCAGCUGGCCAUUGAUAAUCAUGCAGCUUCGGGACAAUCCUUGUCGAUUUUGUGGCAGAUCCCACAGUACGUGGUGAUUACAGCUGGGGAGAUCAUGUUUAGCAUCACGGGCUUGGAAUUUGCAUACUCGCAGGCCCCAGAUUCCAUGAAAGCCGUAGUCCAGUCUGCGUGGCUCUUCACUGUCUCGGCAGGUACAGUUAUUUGGAGCCUUUCUUGAGUUCAUUGCAUAUGAAUUGUAGACGAGGUUGACAUCAUAACCAAACCAGUUACUACUGAUACAGAACUCAAAGAUCUUGUUAUUUACUUUUUGGUUUUGCUAUAUCUUGGUGAUUUGUGUCAAUCAAGUGCGACCUUUACUAGUCAUUCAACCCCUUCAUAUUAUUAAGUGGAACUCAGCUCCUGUACUUCUUUUGUCACAGGCAACCUUGUGACUGUCGCACUGGUGGCAAUUAUUGGCAACAGCCUCUCAAAAGCAAACGAAUUCUUCUUCUUCGCAGCUGGAUGUGUGGUAGCGAUGCUGCUCCUUCUAUGGGCUGGUUCACAGUUUGUCUACAAGCAGCGAAGGUCACAAAGUUUCCAUGCGCCUGUGGAUGAGACUCUGAUAGUGCAUGCUACAGACGACCGUGCCUAUGUGGGAUGACGUCGCUCGUUUGACAGAAAAAGCUGUGAAAAUAAGAAGGAAGAAACAACUACAGCUACUAUUCUCAAGUUCAUUUUAUUUGUUGUCGAAAUUCAGGAUACAGCUGAAUUGUCAGACCUUGAGGCAUCCCUGCUGGAUUCGUUCUCUUCAUCAUUUUUAGUAAUUUUAAUGAGCCAGUAAUUCUCAGGUACAAUCUCCAAGCUAUUCGGUAUGUAGUGGGUCUUGAGAGUUGGGGAGUGGCAUCUGCCUGGGAGAUUGCCAGGUCAAGGACUGGGAGUCAUUCCACCAGCCUUCAAUUGUUUCAUUGAUUUAGAAACUUCAUUGGAAUCUGUACAUUGCUGAGUCGUACUGUGAAUACAGCAUACAAGUUGGGUAGUCCACAAGUGUGUUGCUAAGUGGCAGAUACCACGCAUUCAGACUGGUCCAGCUUUAGUGUUCCAUAUUAUCAUCAUUAUUUUAUUUCCUUAUUGAAGGAUUUUAGAAGGAUUUCGCAACUUACAUAAUGUUUCUGCUUUUAGCGGGAAAUUGGCUACUGUAACCACUCAUUGUGCUUGUGUCCACUCGUGUAUACCCACUCUUUAGUGUCUUAUACAACAUUUUUCUGUGAUGGUAAUGUAUACUUCUACACCAUUUGUCAUUUUAUUGCUAAUCUUAAGUAUUUGAGAAAUUCUAACAAUGAAUUUUAUCUCUCUAGUCUUGCGCCAUUGACCACCUAAUAAAAAAAGGAGAAAACAACUCGCAAUUCGCGUGAUCUUCGGCUCGAAGAUCUAUGGUUGUUUGGGUAUUACCCCAAGCUACAUGACAACAUCUUAGUGUUACUUAUACUCAAGAGCAGUCACACAAAAGUGUUCUUCCUCUGAUUCUCUUUGUUCUCAAUGAAAGAGAAGGUCAUGUACCUCCAUCUGAAAUGCCAGUGUGGUUGGUGAUCUUGGAACAUGGCCGACUCUGCCAGAACUGAUGUCGUUACGACCUGGCUCCGGAUGAGAGGUAAUGGCGACAUUGGCACUGUAAUCAAGCACUCUCUGCUCUCUGUUGCUGCGACACUUGGGUUCCACGUCUCGAUUGUGAACCCCGAAGGUUUCCUGCCAACGAUUUACAGCUUUGUGGAUUAUUUGUUGGUGUGUCGUAAUUUAUAUUUAGUAUUAGUCUGCCUCAACGUUCAAAUGCGCACGGGUGAAGCAUGAGGCUCUUUGCGAAGAAACUGUUUUGAUUUUUAAAUAUUUUCCCUGAUGAAAGGUUUUGCCUCUUCGACGUAAAUAGAAUCGGUCAUAUUUACAAUGUUGGGUUUCCAAUUUGGUAGGAGGAUGUUACUUUAUUUUUGCGAGUUAGACGUAUGUUAACGAAAUUCGGCUUUGUCACCCAUAUUAAACUAGAGAUAUAGCAGCACGUGCUCAAAUAUGCGUCGUCAUGUUAAAUGUUUAGAAAGAUUUGUCGAUUUCCAUCAAUCGCUCAGGCUUACUGAGCCGUAACAGGGAAGGAUGUAAAGAAUUAUGCGCGUCCCGUCGUGGAUUUGACACGAACUAAUUGAGAUUGUUUCUGCUUGCAACAGAGGAAUUUGCCUUAGUAGCGCUCAACUCGGGGCGAGGGAAGCACCAAGUUUGUGACACGUUUUCUGUGAGUUUGCACGGGAAACUGACGUUGCAGCAGGCAUGGUAGCAUUGGUGGAUUGUACAAUUUCCGCUCGGGGUUUUAAGAAGUAAAAUGGUUCACACUCGGUUUUCUUUAUCAUUACCUAGGGUUAAGUUUAAAGACGACCAGUCAAGCUUCACAAAUUGGUGUGUCACAUCUGUUUCAUCACAAACCGGGAUCACCACGAAAGCAUGGAGAGUAAUACAGCGCUCUUCCCAACACAUGUUGCUCGAAUCCAGGAGGUUCGCUGUCAUCGUUCUGCUUGCGUCACUUUCCAAUCAGACUGCAACCGCGUGUCUUCGCUUCUGCUGCAGUUAAUAGGAUGAGAUUAAUGAUAUCAUAGAGGACUUCAACCUCCAAAUUUGCUGAUGCAUCGGAAGAGAUCGAUUUAUAGCCGCCGAGUCUGAAGAAACUGUUCAGAUCAACGACGUGUGUUCUGUGUUGAUUUGGGUGGAAGAGAAUCUUCAGCUUAAACAUUAAUAUGAAUUCCAUUUUUGGACCAAAUUGUGUCAAAAUACUUGAAAUCCUCAUGAUUUCUAUUUUCCUGCAAGUGGAUACAUUUUUUUCUUUUUACACUCACUGCGCACGCGAAGAUGCUUAAGUUAUUGAAAAUGGGUUUGCUACCUUAAUGGUAGAAAAUCAGGAAUUAAAUCAGGAAUUCAAUGCAUUAAGAACUAUUAGAGUUUCAAUAAUAAUAGGAACACAUUGAAAGCAUUAAUGUGCUCAGCGAAGUUAAGUGCUGAAAAUUAGCACAAGGCUAGGUUCUAGAAUAGACAUAUCUGUUGUUUGUCUUGUACUGCAGUUCUGCUCAAUGCUAUAAUUGACAUGGAUCCUGCUACAUUUUAGUUCAAGAUCAUGAUUUUACAUCAGCUUCUUGCAUUAAAAGGCUCUUAUUUCCUAUUCCAGUUGUUUAGUUUUUUUUGUUUAUUUGCUCUCUUAGAGGUAAUGGCUUCUUUUGAAUUUAGCCUAGAUUGAUUGCAGUCCAAUCUAGAUGGCAAAACUAUUCUACAUUACUUGAUUAGUAGGUGUGGUGGCAUUACUGCUCAACAAUAUGUGUAAGAGAGUUUUAUUGUCUAAACUCAACUAUUGUGCAAUACUUCAAGACAAUUGUAAGCAUCAAAGUAGAGAAUGGUAUGGAAAAAGAUCAAAGCGGAAUUGUGGAGUCAAUGGAGAAGAGAAUUAACAUGGGAAUUACCAAAUAUUGUAUCUUACAACAUGGAUAAGAAGAAAAUGGAGCAAAAUUUGAAGGUUCAAAGGAUGACUCUAAAAGUCAUUGGCUCUACUUAAAAUAGUUGUGUAAGUUGUGUACGUUCUUUAGUUGUGUAAGCCUAUUUUUAGCAUUAAAUAAAUUUAGUAUAGAUAAAUAGAAGGUGAUAAGGAGAAGUAUGUGUUGCUAAUAAAUAAAAUCGUCUUAAUUUCAAUAAAAAGACUAAGUAGAAGCAUCAACAAUUCUAUAAUCUAUUCUUUAAUCAUUGAUCUACAUAGGUUUCUUAAUAACAUUUUUUCUAUAUUAUUCUCCUACUUUCAUGCAUAUAAAUGUGUUACUUUUGUAUUUAUUUCUAUAGAGACUCUCUUCUAAUAUCAACUAUUAACUAUAAAAAAAUAAAAAUUAACAGCAAUCAUUUAUCACAGAAAUAAAAUAAAAUAAAUUAUAGAAUUCUUUUUAAUUCAUAAUUUGUUUCUUUUGGAUAAACUUUUUUCAUCACUUGUUUGUUAUUUAAAAUAUGUUAGAGAUUUUUUUAUUUAUUUUUUAAAUGUAGGUAUGUUAUUACAUCUAUAUAAAUAAUGUUUAGUUGCAAAAAAAAUUAUUAUAAUUACAAGUAAAUUUCUUAAAAUAAAGAUAAUUUUAUUAAAUAAUAAGGUAGAAUUAAAAAUAUUGCAAAAUGAAUAUAGACAAAUGAGGUACAAUUAGCUUUGUACUUAUAGUAUAUUUGCUUUUGUCUUGAAUAUAGCAUCUUCAUUAUUCAUCUUACAUACUAAAUAGAUUUAAUUUUAUCAUACAUAAUAAAGUAAAUGUAGUUAUAAUAUAUUAUAUAUAUGUAAUAUUUAAUAUUUUAAAAUAAUAAAUACAUAUAUAUUUUUUAAAAAAAUUAAAAUUUAAAAUAAAAUUACUAAUAAUUAUUUAAUUUUAAAGAUAAAAUAUGUAAUAUCUGAAAAUUUUAAAAUUUUGAACCACUACUUUAAAGUCUAAAAAUGUUACCAUUAUCUAAAUUAUUUUAUUUUAUUUGGUAAAUAAAUAGUAAUUAGAAUUUUUCUUAAAUUUAUAACUUAAUGUAGAAAUUUUUAAUUAAUUAGACUCUACUCUUGAAAGAAUUUUUUUAAAUAUAAUACAUAAUAAGUCUUUAAUCUCUAUAUCUAUAGAUAUUAUGCUUCUUGAAGUUUUUAUAAAUAUGUAUAUGUAUAUAUAUAUAUAUAUAUAUAUAUAUGGUUUUAAAUUAUUAGUAUUAUAUAUCAGAAUAAUUAUAUAUUUUUAAUUUAUUUUAAGACAUGUUAUACAAUGUAACAAAGCUAAAAAAAAUUAUAUACUAUAAAUAACUAAAUAAUAAAAAAUAAAAUAGUAUAUCUAUUAAUAUUAAAUUUAGCUAUAGAUAAAUAAAUAAACAUAUAUUUAUAUACAUGAUAAUAGAUAUUUUACAUAAAUCCAUCUAAACAUGUAUUAAUAUAAUUGUAAAAAAAAUUUACAAGGACUAUCCAAAAAAUGAUAAAAGUCAUGACUAUUAUCUUUCAAUUUCUUUUCUUUUUGCUAAGUUGAGAGUUGUGUUUAUUUAGAUUAUACCGAUUUCAGUAUUUAAUGAACUUAUGCUACAGCUUUCAUAAAUUAUAGUUACAUCUUUUUCUAAAUUUUUAAUUUUAUGGUUAUAUUUUCUAUUAAAGAAACACAACAAAUAAGACAUAAGUAAGUAUAAAACAGCAAGGUUAGACACAAGAGAAGUGUGGAAUGAGAUGUCUCUCGCUUCCAACAUCUUUUACUAAUAAGUAGAAUUUACAUCCAUUUUAGCUAGUAUUCAUCUUACUUUCAUCCAACUAAACCUAAGAUUCUUCUUAACCUAGCUGCCACUUUGAACCCUAGCCGCCACCUAUAAUCCUAGCCGCCACCUUGGUAACUUUCCUUCAUCCUUUUGCUGCCCUUUCACCAUUAGUAACUUAUCUAAGAUAAUAUCUUUUACCUUCUAACUUAUCCUCCAUUUACUUUAAUACUUCCACUUUGAUAUUGGUCAAAGGCUAAUAAACCUAAUGCCUUUGUCAAUUUGUAAUGUCUAGCCUUCACCAAUGCAUUUGUGAGCAAAUUAGUAAGUAUGUCUUUCAUUGCACAAUACUUCAUGUCAAUCUUCUCCCGUAUGAAGUAAUAUUGAAUGUCAAUGUGCUUUGUUCUUGAAUGAUUCUUUGGAUUUUUGACAAAAGCAAGGCAUCCUUGAUUGUUAUAUUUCAUUAGAGUUGCUUCUAAUUGCACAAGUUCAAUGUCUUCUAAAACUUAUCUUAGCCAUAUUGCCUUCAUUACACCAUAACUUGCUGCCAUGUAUUCCGCCUCUAUUGUAGACCUUGCAAUUGUUGGUUGUCUCUUGCAAUUCCAUGAAAUUGCUCCCACUCCUCAAGAUCCUCUUAAUGGUUGCUCAAUGAAUUGGUCCAACCUUUGACAUGUGUUGACUCACAAUACUUUUUGUAUAUGCAAGAUCCACUCUUGUACCAACCUUUGCAUACAUAAGUGAGCUUAUUGCUACCUUGUAUGGAACAUCUUUCAUUUCUUCUUCAAUUUCAGUAAAUUCCUCAUCCGUAAGCUUCAUCAACUUCAAAUUUUCCUCCAAAGGUGUUCCAAUGGACUUGCACUCCUCCAUGUUGAAUGGUUUCAACACUUCUUCAAUGUACUUCUUUUGGCUCAAUGUAAUGAUCUUCUUAGCUUGAUCUCUCACAAACUCCACUCCUAAGCAAUAGUGGAGUUCUCCCAAAUCACUCAUUCCAAAUUCUUUUGCUAGCUUUGCCUUCAACCAAUCCAUCUUUUUCAAAGUAUUAGUCAAGAUGAUCAAAUCAUCAACAUAAAGAAUAACAAUCAGCAAGAAGGCUUUUGAUUGCAUCACAUACAUAGAAUGAUCAGCCUCACUUUUGACAAAUCCCUCAUUCACUAAAAAAAGUGUCGAUACGUUGGUACCAUGCCCUUGAUAAUUGCUUGAGCCUAUACAAGGAUUUCUUCAACUUACACACAAGGUGUUGCUUGCCUUCUUCAACAAAUCCUUGAGGUUAAUCCAUGUAGAUGUCUUCCUCCAAUUUUCUAUUCAAGAAAGCCGUCUUCACAUCCAUUUGGUGCAUCUCUAAGUCCAUUGCUGCCCCAAUUGCUACAAUAUUUUUAAUGGUGGUGAAUUUGGCCACGAGAGCAAAUGUCUCAUUGAAAUCAACACCAACAACUUGUGAAUAACUUUUGGCUACUAAUCUUACUUUAUACCUCACAAUAUUGCCCAUUGUAUCCUUCUUUGUUCUAAACAUCCACUUACAACCAAUUGAAGCUCGAUUUGAUGGAAGUUGAAUCAAUUUCCAUGUUCUAUUAUCCAUGAAUGAUUUUUACUCUUCUUCCAUGGCAUUCUCCCACUUCAUAGCAUCCGUGGACUUCAUUGCAUCAUAUAAAUUCAAUAGAUCAGCAAGAAGUACAAUAUUGGCAUGUUCUUCACUUACUUGAUAAAAAAUGUGGUCCUUCCACCAUUCACCAUGUUGUUUUCUAUCUCUCAAAGGAUAUCUCCUUUCAUUUGAAGAAGACUCAACUUGUUGCACUCUAUAAUCACCUCCAACCUUCUUUUAUUUUGAAGAUAGUCUUUUCUCACUCAAAGAUUUAUAAUCCUCAUCACCAUCAUCAUCAACAUCUUCAUGCUCUUCAUUGCUGGUCUUAGCAAUUGUAGAGGCCUUCUUGUCCACCUUCUUUGCCUCUUCAUCUUCAUUUCUACCUUUACAACCAUCAUUGUCUUUGUCUUCUUCCUUCUUUGCUGAAUUUGAAGAUAAGUCCAUAAACACACUAUUACUUCCACUUGGACACAUCUCCAAGUGCUCACAAGCACUCUUGUGCUCCAAAAACUCAAUAUCACGACUUUUGAUGAUCUUUUUAGUCUCCAAACACAUGAUUCUAUAAGCCUUUGUACCUUUACAAUAUCCAACAAAUAUACAUUUUGUACCUUUUGCAUCAAAUUUUGAUCUCAUACAAUUUGAUAUCUUUGCAUAUGCUAUGCAUCCAAAGGUCCUCAUGUAAGAAACAUAAGGUUUUCUCCUAUUCCAAGCUUCUUCCGAUGUCAUUGAUGUAAGUGCACUUGUAGGACACCUAUUUCUUGUGUACACUACAUUCACCAGUGCUUCUACCCAAAACUCAUGUCCAAGGUGUUGUGCAUGAAACAUACUCCUUGUCAUCUCCACAAUGGUCCGAUUUGCUCUUUCAGCAAUUCUAUUUUUUUGUGGAGUGUAAGGAGUAGAGGUUUGUCUUGCAAUACCAUGCAUCUUCAAGAAAUCAUUGAAUUGCUUUGUCAUAUACUCACCUCUAUUGUCCGUACGCAAUACCUUGAUUUUGCAUUCACAUUGCUUCUCAACAAGUGCCUUAAACUUCUUAAACCUUCUGAAACACUCACUCUUUGCUUUGAGGAUGAAAAUCCACACCUUCCUUAAAAAAUCAUUAAUGAAUGUAAUAAAAUACCUUGUACCUCCUAUUGAUGGCAUCUUCAUAGGUCUACAAACAUCAAAAUGGACAAUCUCCAAUAACUUGUUUGUAUGUGUUGCAACUCCACUUGGAAAUGAGGCUCUUUGUUGUUUAUCUUGAAUACAACCUUUACAAGUAAGUGUCAUAGCAUUGUGGCUUAUAUAACCAAGAUCUAAGCGACUUACCAUGAAUUGGAGCUCUUUCAUUCUCUUGGCAUUCAAAUAACCAAGAUGUUGAUGCCAAAUGCCAAACUUAUCUUAAUCUUCAGAAAAUUCAACAAAUGCUGCCACUUCAACUCCAUUCACCUUCUUACACUUGAUGAAGUAGAGGUUGCCAUUUCUAAAGCCUUUUGCAAUAUGAUCUCCUUCCAAUGUCUUCACAAAACAUCCAUUCUUAUCAAAUUAUACUUAAUAACUAUAUGAAACAAGUUUACUCACUGAAAGGAGGUUUUUCUUCAUCUUUGGUACAUGUAAGACUUCCUUCAAUCUGAUCCUCUUGGUUUGGCCUUUCACAACAAUCUCUAUAACAAUGGAGCCCAUUCCAAUAGCUUGUACUAUGCCAUUAUCUUCCAUGAAGAUAUUUUUUUUUGAAAUCUCUUCAUAAAUGUCAAAUAAAUACUUGUAUGGAGUCAUGUGCUUGAUGGCACCAGAAUCAAUGAUCCACUUGGACAUGGCAGCCAUGGAAGUGCCUUCACUUGCCAUGAAUGCAUAAUCAUCACCUCUAUAUUCAUCACAAACAUUAUUUUUACUUUCUCUAUCUCCUUUCUUAGUCUUGUAGCAAUUUCGAGCAAAGUGACCUAGUUUUCCACAAAUGAAGCAAACUCUCACAUUCCCACGUUGGUUAGAAUGACUCUCCUUGCCUUAUCUUGAAAAGAGAGCCAAAUCCUCACUUAGGGGUUUUUUUUUUCUUUCAUCUUGAUUACUUCAUGGGCAAGUCUUGCCAUUAUAUAAUCUAUUAUGAGUUCUUUUAGCUUGAUGGACUCCAAUGCCACAAUGAGGUAGUUGUAGGACUCAAAAAGGCUCAUAAGUAAGUUCAUGACAAUAUCACUCUCUUCUAAAGGCUUGUCAAUAAUUGCAAGUUGAUUAGCAAGGGCCUUUAUGUUAUUGAUAUGAGCCAUGAGGUCUUCACAUUCUUCCAUCUUGCAAGUGAAGAAUUUCCUCCUUGUGAAGAUGAUAUUGGACAAGUUCUUACUGUCAUAUAUAUUGCAAAGAGUCUUCCAUGCUUCUGCUGGUCCUUUGCAAGAGAUGAUGUGAGAAAAGUUGGCUUCAUCCAAAUUGAUGGCAAUCAUGCCAAAAGCCUUCUUUUCACAUCUUUUGAAGUCCUUCCUCUCUUUAGCAUGAGCAUGCAUACUUGGAAGCUCUUCACUUUCAUCUACAAUAUCCCAAAGGUCCAAAGACGCCAACAAAAGCUCCAUUUUGACCUUCCAAUGGUAUAAAUUGUCACUUCUAAACUUCUCAAUUACUCUCAAACCUUCACCCUCACUCGAAGCCAUGUCUUAAAAGAUGUCUAUUAAAAAUAUCAAGAAAAGGAGUCUCUAUGUACUUAAAAUCACCAAAAUAAUUUUGCACUAGCAAAAUCUCAAAAUGCCCUCUUGUGAACAAAUAAAUUUUUCUUCACUCUAAACACUCCCAAAUCAACUUUUGAAGCUUCUAACAAGUAUGUGAACUCUAAUCAACCUCACCAUCAAGUUCUUCCACUCAUAAAACUCACUUUCUCACCACAACACCAAAGACACUAUCAAGGUCUUUGUAUAAGGUCUUAAUCAUUCAAUCCUAGGAGUUAAGAACCUCAAACUGAUGUUAGAGAUCUAUAAGGCCCAAAUCAGAACCUCUACAAGUCAAAAUACAAGAUUAGAUCAUACAAUCUCUAACAUCAGUAAACACCAUAAGAUAUAUUUCACACAAGAACAACAACCAACAAAUGACUUCAACUUACUUGAAUAACACAACAAAGUGUAUGUGGGCCCAUAACCUAUUGAAGAAAGACAAUAAGCAAGACAUAAGUAAGUAGAAAACAGCAAGGUUAGACACAAGAAAAGUGUGGAAUGAGAUGCCUCUCACUUCCAACACCAUUUACUUAUAAGUAGAGUUUACAUCCAUUUUAGCUAACGUUCAUCUUACUUUCAUCCAAGUAAAUCCUAGAUUCUUCUUAACCUAGUCGCCACUUUAAAUCCUAGCAGUCACCUUGGUAACUUUCCUUCAUCCUUUUGCUGCCUUUUGACCAUUAGAAACUUAUCUAAGAUAAUAUCUUUUACCUUCUAACUUAUCCUCCAUUUACUUUAGCAUUUUUUACUAAACAAGUCAUAUUUUAUGAAGUCUUUUAUCUAAGUAAUAAGAGAAGAUGACACAAGUGUCAAAUUUUAUCAAUCUUAGUAUUUUAUAAUCAUAUUGUUCGAACUUUCUUGCAACUAAAUUAAUGAAAUAAUUGAAAGGUUAUAAAGAACCAUGAAAAUAUGAGAAAGAAGCUAAGGCUAAGGAAAUAAAAUAAGAGAAUAAAAUCUAAAAUUGGUUAGAAAUGGCUAAAAAUAUUAAACCUUAUGAUGUUUAUAAUUCCAAUUUGGACUUAUCUUUAGCUUUAUAUGAUUUUUUUAAACUAUAUAUGCUUUUUUAUUGAAAGUCCAUGCAAACUUAUAAAAAAAUUAUAGGACUUAUUUAUAUCUUUUCUUUUUCUUUUUUCCCUUGUUUUGAUUAAAAUUUUGUUUACAAUUUGUCUUAUAACAUACUUACAUGUUCAAAUAUAUAAAAUAUUCUUUAGAAGUUUAAACUAAAAAUUUAAAAAAAAUAAUGAAAAGCAACAAAUUUAAUUCUUUUGUCAAACAUUCUAAAAUAAAUCAUAAAAUUUAGAUGAUUUCUAUAUGAAUGAACAUGCCACACAUGUACUAAUUGAGUUUGAUAAAAUCAUGAAAACGUGGUUAUAUACAAAGUUUUAUAUAUAUAUAUAUAUAUAUAUAUAUAUAUAUGUUGUAAAAUAUGGGAUUGCCAUAAAAUCAAGAUGAAACAUACAUCAUAAAAAAAAUGUUACUUCAACUAAAAUUUCAUUAAAUUUAAUACUUAAUUAGAUAAGAACCUUGAUUUGAAAACUUAUUUUUUUUGUAAAAAGAAAUAAGCUGUGGUUUGAAAGAACUUCACGCUACAAUUUAGGGUUAUCAAUUCAAAUCUCAACCAUCAAAUACCCCACAAAAAUUCAUCACCACUAGUUCAAAACAAAGAUCAACAAACAAAACAAACACAUCCACAUCUACCAAAGGAUUUUUCCUAAUUCAUGCAUAGUGCAAAUCCCAAAACCCUAAUUCGUUCCAAAAUCUACCCCCAAAAUCAGCGAAAAGUCUAGAUGAUGCAGAUGGCCUCGGAGAGAGGGUUGUGUCCAGGUGCAUGCACCUGCGAGAUGUAUAAAGUAAAAGUAAAAAACAACAAAAAGCAAAGCUCAGAAAAGUAAACGAGGGCGAGGAAAGUAACGCGAGGUGGGCUUCUGGGACUCGGUGUGUUAGCCACCGUUGGAAGAGCGGCGUCCUCUGCUUUGCCAAUUUGCUUUUUGCUACAGAGCGUCACGGUGGGAUUCUCACCAAUCGACCUCUCAGACCUCAACCCCACAAUUUUGCAUUUGGAGAUACAUCACUUUUUGACUCCCGUACUUUGCAUUAAAAUCGUGAGCCUCGUUCUCGCGAGAGCACUGUUGAAAUCCAGCUCGUGUAGUUGUUGUUGGAGUUGGGAGGAGAUUGAACCUCAAGACCCAAGCUGUGUGCAAAUCGUCGGGAUUUUGGCAAGCUCAAGUUGUGUAUAGCUGGGCUGCAGUUGGAUUUUGUGCCUUUGAGAGGGUUGCGUGAAGGGACGCGGAGGGCGACAUGGGUAUUGAGGUCUGUUUUCUGCGCUAGAACUGUUGGUUUUAUUUUAUUUUACUUUGUUUUUUAUUUUUUUACGUAGUGUGAGGAUGAUUGUGGAUGCGGUGUUACGAUGGGUUUAUUAUUUUGAUUUUGAUUUUGAUUUUAUUUUUUGCGUAUGAGAUGGUUUGUGCUGAAAUUGUCCGCGCUAACUUCCUAGAUUUUGAAGCACUGCAAACAUUGUUAACCCUAAGUCUUUUUGUCCGGAGAGUCAGUAUAAAUUCUUGAAAUUUAGAGGUUGUAGAGAGUUUUCAAUCUAGAGUUCCGAACAACCCCUGCUCAUAGAAUUGAUAACCUCCGAUGGCUUAUUUGGAAAGCCCUCUUUAUAGUACUUGUGAGAUAAUGCUGUGGUAUAUCAUGUUUUUUUAUCAGUCUUGAAUUUGUCGAAAUUGUUUCAUUUUGGCACCAGCAGAAAGCAGUUCCCGUUUUUAGCAAGUACGAGUCCAGGAGUCCUUCGUCAAAGAGUUACUACUGUCUACUUAGGUGUGAUCUAGGGUUUUUCAUUAGCAAUCAGGACUUGUUAUUGAUGCUCUCAAUAUACUAACUAUAAAUUCAUGGUUUCCUGAAGCUGUAAAAUGAUUUAAGUUGCUCAUAAUGAUGAAAUUAAUUUUUGUAGGUGCAUAGACCACCCAUGGAAGCGUGGUACAUGGACGAUUCAGCGGAUGAUCAGCGAAAGCCUCAUCAUCGCAGCCCACCUGAAUAUGUUUCUCUGGAAAAGCUUGCAGGUAUCUUAAUGACAAAAGCUUAGCUCAUGAAAUUACGUGCAAGUUCGUACUGGUCUGAAUUUUAUAGCGACGACGUGUUUCAAAAAUAGUUGAAAGACUGGUAGUAAAUGUAUGUAUCUAUCUAUAAAUUCAACUAAUUAGCAGCGGAUUUCAGAUCUUGAAAUUUUUCCUGUCAUCUUUCCAAGUUUGUUCUCCCCUGGUAUUUGGCGUCGGUUUUUAGAAUAUCUUAAGCUCUUGAAAUAAAAAAUUUAAUGGGCAUCUUGGAAUGUACAGUUCUGAACUUCUCUAUAACUAGACUGAUUUGUUGUGCUUUGCUUUUGCAGAGCUGGGUGUUUUGCAUUGGGUGCUUGAUGCCGAUAGUUUCGAAACCGAUCCUGAACUGCAACGGAUUCGAAAAGAGAGAGGGUAUAACUAUGAGGAUUUCAUAGAAGUGUCUCCUGAAAGAUUAGCCAAUUAUGAGACGAAAAUCAAAAACUUUUAUGAAGAGCACAUGCAUACGGACGAAGAGAUUCGUUACUGUCUGGAUGGAAGUGGUAAGCAUCUUAAAUCAACGUCUUUGCUACUUUAUUUGCACAACAUGCCUUAUGCGACUCUGAUGGGCUAGGAUCGAUUCUUCCUACAUAAACACACACUUGCAUUGCAGUUGUUGAUGCAGUUGUUUUACAGGUUACUUUGAUAUUCGCGACCCAGAAGACCGUUGGAUUCGAAUAUGGGUGAAGAAGGGAGACAUGAUUGUGUUGCCUGCAGGGAGUUACCACCGCUUUACUCUUGAUGAAAACAAUUAUCUCAAGGUACACAUAGCUACCUAUCAGUAGCCCCAUUCUAAAAAACAGUGACUGCAGAUAUGAAUAAGAUAGCUUAUUCAGUGUUUAAAAUUGUCCAAUCCAAUAGAACUCUGAAACCCUGUAUUAUUAUAUUCGUGGCAGGCAAUGAGGCUGUUUGUAGGUGAACCUGUCUGGACCCCAUAUAACCGACCCCAAGAUGAACACCCUGUGAGGUGAGUUUCUCAAUCUAAGUUGAUAUCUCACUUAUUUGUUGAAUUCUCAAUUACUCAACUGCGUGUUGACCCACUGUAUCUAACUGUAUUUGAAACAUUCCUUUGACAGCUUCUUGUGAUUGUUGCUCCGCUCUUCUUCCGCCGUAAUGCGUUCUCAGUUUUUCUGAUAGAUUUCAUUGUGUGUCUACUUCAGGAAGGAUUAUAUCAACAACUUUUUGAAGACCCAUUUAGACAAGAUAGACGUGUCAUUGUCGACCCAACAUGCAGCGACUGCGUAACUUUAGACUAUUUAAGUGUUCUUUUAGCAGAGUAUUGGCGCUUGCAUUUUUUUGUGGACUUCUAGCUUGGUGUUGGCAUUUUACAGAGGCGUUUCUCAACGUGCAUGCUAUGAUGAGCUUUCAUGUCCUUGUUCUUGCUACUCUUACGGUACCCAACACAUUCAAAUUUGGAUGCAUACAUGUACCAGUCUUUGAACUUAUACAAUGAAGCUUAGUAGGAAGAGCGGUAACAUGUCCACCUCCUGUGGCAUGUAGCACAGACCUUUUGACUUCAGAAUGGUCAAGGGUGGCUUGCUACUGCAGCAUUGCUUAGUUGGAGUUUAUGAACUUUUCAGUGAUGAUUUGGAGCUUACUUUUUUAGGACUACACUCGUGAAUUCUGAAGAUUAUUAUCAAGCUAGUUUUUAAAAAUCCCAGUUGCUAUGGUUUUCCUUCCCUCGAGGAUUAUGUCUCUUUGUUAGUAAGAAGCGUAGUAUUAUACAAAACUUAGCUUUUGUAUGUUGAACCAGUCAUUCUCUUUUAAGUCUUUGCCUAACGCACCUGUCAUUCGUUCAUUGUUUAAAUUCAUUUGAUCCCUCGUCUUUCAAACUUCAUGGCGUUUUGAAAUUCGCGCAAAGCAUCGACACAUUAUCUCAGGUUAUAAACUACGUCACCCGCCUGCAAUGGUAGGAAAUACAUAUAGCAUUCGGUAAUAAGGUACAACGAAUAAUUAUUUGAAUUGUCUUCCUGCCGAAUCAAUUUCUACAAGUCAAAACAUCCUGCGUCGAAAGAAGUUAUAUUCAUAACAUUUAUAUUGUGCCAUUCAAGCUUCUGAAUGUAAGGUGGAAUUUAUGUCAAGUGAAAACCUUAGCUUUGCCAGGUGGAAUUUGAGAGGAACGUUCUUAACAUCCUUAAUUUGAAACGACAACGAAAAGGAGGUAACCAGUAACGACAAACGAACAAACGAGAACGUUUAAAGACGAGUAUGUGGUGAUUUGUGACUACUUUUAAUUGUCUGGAAACAUCUAAGAAUCUUUUUUCAGAAACAAGGUUAGGAUCUACACUUCCAGUCACCAGUGGCUUGUUAUUAGAACGUGUACCUAAAACCAACACUUAUAUGAUGUCACAUCCUCUAGAAGACCCAAUGCCAGAACUGAUAAUGAAAUACAUCAGUGUGAUAUCCCCUUCUACUGUUCCUCACUCCGUCGGUUAAUUCUACAAUUCCCUUCUCAGGCUGAAGUGAUUAGCGGCAUGAAGGCAAUUUCACAUAACGAACGCUCUCUUAAGAGUACGAAUUAAAUUCUCAUGCACGGGCGUCGCUUGGAAGCAAGUACUCUAUCAAGCCAUGGAAAUUUCACACAUUCAAAAUCAAGCAUACAACUAUCCAACAUCAAAAAUAAGCGAAGGAUUCACAACUGUAAAAAUAAAUUAAGACAACCACUGCGUGACUUAACGCACAAAGAGAAAGCCACCAGGGGUAUCAAACUUUCUAUAAAAAUAAAAUUGGAUUUCUAUGAAGCAAGAAAAAUAAUCGUGUAACGUAGAUGCUCCAUGAGGCCUCCAGGCGCAUUCAGAAUAGCAUAAAGCUCCACGCUACAAACUAACGUUCUCCGUGCAGAAGAACAACCAGGUCUCCUCAUAUCAAAAGUUACCAGCACAGGUCAAUCGCCGUCAAGUAGUUAUCUUCAUCAUCCGCUACAAGCACUUAGCCGCUGCCGCCGGAGUAAGCCUUGCCCAAAAGUAAUAUCUGCAACUGAUCGUAUCCGGAUAACACUCCAGCUCCUGCCACCGCACGCAAGAUAUUAGCACCAGCGCCCUUGAACAAUGACUUCGCUCCUUCCUUCGCCAAAAUCUGCCUAAACGCAUCCAUGGACCCGUUGUACUUCACUGCCUCUCCGGAGGUCAUCAUCAUCCUACGCCGAACCGUGUCGAUGGGGUAUGAAGCCAGACCCGCACCGAUCGUGAUACCCCAUCCCAACAAGAAACUGGCCAAGAAGUUGCCCUGCAAAUCCAAUAAAACCAGUCACACCCAUAGCUUCAGACGCAUUCCCAAUCUCGCUACAUCCAUAAAGCUCUAUUUCGUUUCGCCACACCGAGCAAAUCUAUCAAUUAGCAGCAAUUCAGCUUACACGCUCUAGCGGCACAACAUCCCUUCCCUCAUUCAUACACACAGCAUCACCCCAUGCCAUCCCAUGCAAUCGUAAAACAGUUGAACAGAUCCCAAAAAUGACUUUAUGACUCGGACAUGUGCAAAACCCCACCUCCAAGUUGCCCACCAACACCACUGGCUUCAACGAGUCGUAAAUUCCGAAGUACAGGCCCCUGUACACGAUGAUACCCGCGCAAGAGAUCGCGAACCCUCUGUACAGUCCCGCAAUACCGUCUGUCGCCAAAGUCUUCUUGUACACGUCCACCAGUCCAUUAAACUGCCGCUCGCCUCCUCCUUUCUUCGAAGACUUCGCAUCGUUCGCCAAACGAGUACGUGCGUAGUCUAGAGAGUACACAAACAAUAGAGAUGACGCUCCCGCGGCACCUCCAGAUGCCAAGUUGCCGGCGAACCAUUUCCAGUAUCCGUCCUUGUCCUUCUUGUACCCGAACAGAGCCUUGAAGUAAUCUUUGAAUGCAAAGUUCAAAGCCUGCGUCGGGAAGUAUCUGAUCACAUUCGCAGUGUUCCCACGCCACAGCGACAUCAUUCCCUCGUCCUUAAUGGUUCGGCUGAAGCACUCGCCAAUGCCCUUGUAAGGGUGAGACAGACGCCCGGACUUCAGCAUUUCGUCCUGGUUCUGGAUCAACAGCUUCACACGCUCGAUGGGCGCAGCUGCUGUCUUAGAUACCGCGGCCGACACACCCCCCAUCAGAAAGUCGGUCAUGAACGAAGCGAAUGUCUUUUCAUUCGCAGCCGGAACGAACACCUGGCUCGACAUGUUCCUCCCGCCGGUCACGUCGAUGGGGCACGGGGAGUUGAAUCCCGUCUGCCUGGGCAGAGCACCGAGCUUGGCAGCGGCCGCGAAAGGAGUGCUGAAAUCGUAGGCGGGGUACAUGGCACGACUAGGUGUAAAUCUGGAACCCAGGUAUGAUGUUCCACCCAUCUUGCUCACCACGCUGGGGCAACGCUGGUCAGCCAUUGUCAGAGAUGCUCAAUUCCUGCACGAACGGAAACUACAUGUUGUCAAUAAUGCAUUUUUUUUUAAAUACCAUAAUGUUUCUCACUGAAGUACGAACAAGACACAUCUGAUUACAACAUUUGGCACAAAGAAUCAAAAGACAUGAUUAAUUGCAUGACAUCCACGCGGCUGCGGAUCUGAGCUACCAAGCGCGGAUGUAAAGAGCUCGAUGUUUGUCUAUUACAUGUUGAGAAACACGUCUGAUGAAAUUUAGCAUAAUUUUUGAUGAAGUCCAUGGCUAACAGAGUCAGGCACCGGUAUUGCACAUCAAGAGGCAGAUAGAUCUGAAGUUCUACCCUACUACCCGAACACGAAUUUGACAUCGGUAUGAGAGAAGCGACCAGGACAGGUAACCGACAAGUCUCUCCAGACCAGAGAAAUCGACACACCAAUCCAAUUCCUGCGAAAAGACGAAAGACAUUCGCAUCGUAACACUAUGAAGUCACACAAUCCUCGAAGAAGGUAUUCCUAGAUGUACCGAAACAAUUAUUCUUAUUUCGAAGCCAUAAACAUCGCUGUUCGUCUGAACAGGAGACAAUGAGCUUGCAUAUUCCAAAUCUAGUCCAGAAUCACAGCAUCUCGACGAUGCAAUGACUGAGAACAAUGACCGCGCGUCCAAUCAGUCACAAUCCACGUCAAAAUCAUCUUCACUAAGCGAAAAACGACUCCAUUCACAAAUUAAAAAAACCUAAACACUCGACUGAAGAACAUCAACCCCCAACAACCCAACAACGUCUAACCAGCAGGACCCUCCUACACCACCCCAAAACAACCACGCGCUACAAGACAGCAUUCUAGACAACCCCGAAGCACAGAAACACGCCACACCAGAAACCAUCUUCACAUUCCAUGCCGCGAUUACAGGCACCUCCUAGAACGGAUCUAGAUCACCCCAUGCAAAAAAAAAUUAAAUUAAACUAAAUCAAAUCAAAUCAAAAGUAUCACAAACCAAAUCGACGCCUAACUACACAGAUUCUCUUGCCCUCGACAACCUGGCUGAGCGAUGAAACCCCAGCAUCGACCCGAUCGAAGCAAUCGAAACGAAGCACAAAUAAGUCUAGAUACUAAGAACCCAAAAAAAUCGCAGAAGAAAGAAAGGGGAGAGUACCAACACGCCCUGCGAAGAAGGGCAAAUGGGUCAGCUGCGGCGAUGGAGCGCAAGCAGGGAGAGCAACACAAGUAGCAGAGAGAGCUUCGGCGCGUGCAGAGCUCGGCGUCAAAUUGCUUCUCUCGUCUUCGCUACGCAGCUCCGUCCUGCUCGCUACUGGUCGGAUCCGAGUCUGGCGCCGGUAUCCGGUUCCAUGGUGCGUUCGGGGCAAUGCUGUCCACCUGCGGGGACCGGUCGUUAUCGCUCCGAUUGCCGGUGGUGGUGAUUUCUUAAGGAUUUCGAGCUGCACAACGACUGCGGAUACGGUGACUGCCAGGGUCUGUUGAGCGUCUCCAGCGGUCCCCUGCACCGGUAUAAUACUGAACACCCGGCUACGUCUGUGUGUGUACGCGUGGUGGCAUCGUAGAAUUGAGUGUUUCUUUUCGCGUAGCGCUGGCCUGCAUCGAUGAGUUCCACAAAGUGCUUUUAGAAGUAUUUUUCGAAUAUUAAAAAAUAAAACCCUUUGCGCACCGUUUUCAUACCGUGUGGAACAGUACAUUGCGUGAUUGAAUCAUAUUGAUGAAUGAAUGUACAUUCGUUCCUCAUCCAGAAUGUCUGAAACCCAUGGCCAAGUGUACAUUUGUCCUAGACGGGAAAUUAAUAACGUGCUCAUUUUUUUUUAUAUUAUGUCAAGAAAAAAAACAACAAUAAUAAUAAAAAUAAUAAAAAUAAUAAUAAUAAUAAUAAUAAGAAACCAAGCUCACGAAUUCUCAGUGUUUUGUAAGAAGAUCUAGUUACAUAAUUGAGAGAAGAAGAAAAAAAAAAAAAACAUUCAAAAAACAAAACAAAACAAAGAAUUGUAGCAUGGCUUCAUAAUUGAGAUUGUCGUUACAAUAAUAAAUUCUACCAUUUGUCACUGGAAUUCGUUGAUUGGAUUCUUAUUAUUCCUUCGACAAAAAAACAUAUAUUUAUUAAAUAAAAAUCUAAAUGUUGAAAAAAAUUACCAUUCAAUUUGGACACAUGUUUCACUUACACUAGAGUUUUAAAUAAUUAAUACCUGAUACAGAAGUAGAUUUAAUGUGGCUAGCAACAAAAUUGGGUGAAAUGAUUUAUAAGAUAUGCAAAAUCUGCUCACAUGAACACAACCACAAACAUUGUGUUUAAAAUGUAGUUUAUUAUCAUCCUUUUUUAUUUCACUCUUUCUUGAUUUGCACUGAAUUACAUGCUCUUCUAAUAUCUAACUUGGAACAGGUUUCAACUUUGUCAAAUCAUUAGCAAAAAGUUAUAUAAUAGAAAUACAAGAAUAAUAUUGGUGAUGAAUGUUAUGUUGAAACCAAACAAAUCAAUGCAAGUAUAUAGAAAAUUUCAUUGAAUUUAGUAAUAUAUAUAUAUAUAUAUAUAUAUAGUAAGGAAAAUGACAAUAUUUGAUGUCAUUUGAAGAAUAUUCUAAAUUUCAUGUGCAAAGAUAUUGAUAUGUUACAAGUUAAACUCUACACUAAACUAUUAAAAUAAAAGGUUGUGCACCUUCUCAAAGAUAAAUUGCAAUACAAAUUUGUAAAUGUUACAUCCCCAAUUGAUAUUGCUACACUCUAUGUGACCUCCACACAACUUAAAUUAACUAAAAAGUGCACUUCUAUGCUGAGUGGGGUUUGGCAACCUAAUAUUUAACACCAACAUUGAUCCAAAAAUAGAAUGAUAUAAAAUAAUAAUAAUAAUAAUAAUAAAAUCAUUGAAAUGAACAAAAAUGAAAGCAAAAAAGAGAAAAGAAGCUUGCAACAUAUUUUUUCACAAAAUAUUAACUAUCUCUCUCUUCAUUGCCACCCUUUCUUAAAGGAAAGAAGAGAAAAAAUGUGCAAAAUAAAGAGGCAUAUUAUUAGCUAGUUGUCUAUAAGGACACAUGGGGUGAAGAGAUAUCAAUCAAGGAAGCAUUAACUAUUCUCUUACAAUAUUGUAAAGAUGACAUUUUAGCAUAAUAUUUGUAUUCUUUCUCUGUAUAUAAAAAGUAUGCCUAGGAAGUUGUUGUGUAGCGCUUGUACAUGUCCGUACAGUCUUCAAAACAUAUUUGAAAUGAAUUUGAAGUCGUUAAAGUAUUAAGAUAUAUUUGUAUACUUUUCCAAGUAAAAAUAUAAAAAAAGAAAAAACAUGACAAUUACAUCUAAAAGAAUGACCCCCAACUUAACCCAAUAUUGGACAACAAAACAGAUCCAACAUCAUAUUCUUGACUAUACAUUCUUAUUUACCUCAUGUGUGUGAUUAGACAAAAACCCAAAACAUGAUAUCCACAAACAACUACAAAUUGCACAUGCAUUUUACAUCUUAAUGUUGACAUAUGAAAAUACAAAAUAUGGCAUACACAUACAAUAGAUUUAAAAAAAAAAAUAAAUCAUGCACCACCAAAGAAAAUCUUCAUAUUCUCAUGCAAUGAACUUCACAAGCAUUAUUAGCUGGAAUGGAAUCAGUGAGAAUAUAAAUUAACAAAAAAAAAAUUAAAAAAAAGUAGAUGUCGUCACCAAAGUCCAAGAGCGCGUGAAAUCGCCGACCGAUGCAAGCGAUCGGGGCCUAUCCGACGUGGCAGCGUGCACCGGGCGGCUUGAGGGGAACGGUGAGGGGCACGAAUCCCGGGGCGGACCGGAUGAGAACCCACCCGCGCAGCCUCUUCAUCGUCCCUUUUUGCCCUGCCCUGCCCUGCCUUGGCUGGGAGACUGCUGACUCUCGCUUCGCUGCAUUUCUACGCCAUCAUCUCUGCCUCGCUCUCUCGCUCUCAUUCGCUCGCUCGCACUCUCGUCUCCUUGCCUGCGCCCCUGCUCUUCCUGCCGCUGCUCCCCUCCCCCUCGGCCUCUGUUUCUCUUGCGCUGGACUGCACUUGCGCUGGACUGCACUUGCGCUGGACUGCACUUGCGCUGGACUGCACUUGCGCUGCUGCAUCACGCGGCCCUUGCCUUAUCCUUUGCUCUGGCCUCCGACGCUGUGGUGACGGAGAAUUGCUGGUGUUUUGCGUCCCCUGACGUUAGGGUUCUGCGCUCUGGGAGAUUUGUAUCGUCCGCAGAUCGGGGGCUGGGGGACUAGUUUGCUGCUGUGAGCAGUGGGUGGUGGUCGACAGUGCGGUAGGGUUUGUAGUGGUGUGCCGGUGAGUGGCUGCGCCUGAUGGCCUCCAAGCGUAUUCUGAAGGAGUUGAAAGAUUUGCAGAAGGACCCCCCGACAUCAUGCAGCGCUGGUGAGACUGCCGACGUUGUUUUUUUGUUUUUGUUGAAUGCUUGUUUCUUGGAGUUCUCCUGUGUUUGUUCGGUUCCGUGUGAGUGCUUGGAAUCUGGACUGGAGUUGGCGUUGUGGUGGUGGUGGCGGUUUCUCUUGAUCAGUGCUGGUGUCGUCGUUGGGCUGUCCGAAGGAUGUCGACAGCUGCGUCUCCUCGGUUUUUAGUUGCCCAAUUGUAGAGGGUAGAGGCCGAGAAUUCGAGGUGCUACGAGUCAUCGCUCGUGAUGUACGGACUUUGAUCCAUAGGUCCUUUGAGUGCGGGCACGGGUCUACUUCGUCUUGGGGUUCUUGAUGUUGGAUGUUGCGGGUGUGGCCUACUGUGUAGGCGGGGUACGAUCUUCUGUGAGAUUUGGCAAGUCUGAUUAUGUUCGUGAGUGUCCCAGGUACGUUUGUGGGAACGGACAAGCUUGGUGGAUCUUCUGGCUGCUACAGUUGAUGUGGUCAUGGUUUUUUGAAGUGUGUCGGGUCCACCUGUGAAGGUGUGGUUCCUGCUGUGUAGUAGUCGGGGGAAUUCGUGGGGUCGGGAGUCUUUUUGGAGUGCGUAGAAACGGCGUGUACUGCCUGAAGGUGGGAAGGUUGGGCGUUUGUUUAGUCAGCUGACGUUGCAUUUGUAGUGGUGAGCAGCGCGGUACUUUUCUGCCAAGGCUGGUUGCUUGGUUAUGUUCAUCCACGUUGAUAGUUCAAGAUUUCCGCAUGGUUGUAAGGUACUGGUGGGUGUGGCUUGAACCGCGUAGCUGUUUUGGAAUGACUUGGAGUCGUGGUGGUCUCCAGAUACAGUGCUGAUGAGAUGCGUGAAUGUGAUUGUCAGCUCACUUGAGCGCAGGGUGGUAGAAGGAAAUGUGUGGAAUAUGGGCUUGGCAAGUUUAAACAUGGACGAUAGUUUUGUUUUGGGGUGAGAUGUAGUGGAAGAUGUCAUGGGUGUCGUCUCACUGGGUGGUUGCGGUUGAUGUACGACAGGGCCUGUGGCCGAAGAUAUGUUCCAUUGGCAGGCUACGAUAAUGGGACCUCCAGAUAGUCCGUAUGCGGGAGGCGUGUUUCUGGUCACUAUUCACUUCCCCCCCGAUUAUCCAUUCAAGCCCCCCAAGGUAGGUCUGCUGGGUCAUGAUUGGGGUUUGGUGGGAUAGAAGCGUCCUCCGCCGCGCAACUAUGGGCGCGUGGCAGGAUUGCAACCGAUGGGUGGUGUUGCGGGUGCACGAAUUUGUCAUGACAGUUGUUGAAUACAGUUCCAGUACGGGCAUGAGUGCGUCGAGAGGUGUGGCUUGAGUCGAUCAUGGUGGCGAAGGUCUUGUGUGGGUGGACGUGAAGGUGGGGGUUGGCGCGCAGGCUGGUAGUGUUGGAGUUUCGAGAGACGACGGUUAAGUUACGUUGGUUAAUCUGUUCGUGGCAAUUGCGGCUGCAGGUUGCGUUCAGGACCAAGGUUUUCCACCCCAACAUCAAUAGUAAUGGGAGCAUCUGCCUGGAUAUUCUGAAGGAGCAGUGGAGCCCUGCUCUAACCAUAUCUAAGGUGCGUUGGUUGUACACGUCGUUGGAGCUGUUGUUCCGUGAAUGUUGGUCUUUGUGUAAGCGAGGAUGUGAGGUUGAAAUGGUAGGAUGGUGGGAGGGGGGUGGGCACAUGCAGCCGUGGUUGACGUGAAUGUGCAGCGAAGGCGUGUGCCAGUAACCACCACGUGGUCGUUGAAUUGAUAGUUGUGGUGGUGAUUGUGGGUGUGGUUGGAUUUGUUGGGAGUGGGUCGGGAUAAAUUUGGUCGGUUUCUGCAUGGAGUGGGUCCGGAUUCUAUGGCUGCAUCUUCUUUACAUAAGCACCGUGAUGGGGUUGAGGUUGGCGUAGAGGAACACGGGAUUGGGUUACGAGAAGCUGGGAUGGCACGUGACGGGAUGGUGACGUGGGUGUGUGAGUGGGUUGGUGCAGGUGCUGUUGUCAAUCUGCUCAUUGCUGACAGACCCAAAUCCGGAUGAUCCCCUUGUACCGGAAAUCGCUCACAUGUACAAGACAGACAGGCAUAAGUACGAGAGUACUGCGAGAAGUUGGACUCAGAAGUACGCAAUGGGUUGAGAGCGGGAAGCUGCGGCUCUAAGGCUGCGAGCACGGGUGGGUUUGGCAGGACGUGAAUGCGAGUAUGACGUCUUUAGCAUUUAUGCGAAGCUGAGUGGGAGGUAAAGAUGACGGUUACCAGAUGGCCCCGAGGGUCCUGAUGAUGGGACUUGGAGAUAUUUGCGUUGUGGAGCCAUUGUGUAUGUUGCAACAACAUAUUGAUAGGGUAGUGAAUGUGUGCUGAGGGGUUAAGUAGUGAGAUAAGUUAAAAACUGUUUGGUGCACGUGUGUGGCAUCUUGUGGUCGAGGUCGUAAGGAUCAUAGGUGCACCACUGCCUUGCUGUUGCAGCGUUCAUACGUUUGCCAGGUUUCAUAUAUUUAUGAGAGGAGAUGGCAUAUCCUGUGUGUUGGUGCGCAUCUUGUGCUGUUUUGGGUGGAAUCAGGACCGCAUAGUUGAGUGUUGAGAGAACAGAGGUUGGCUGGUCAUGUGAUGGGGUCUUUGGAUGUCUGUCGCAAGUGUAUACGUGAGGCAGGUUCCAAUUGCUAAUCUCAACUCCAGUGUGGACGAGGGAGGAAAGGAAUUCUUCUGUUGAGGGCAUUCGGGGUAGAGAAUGGCGUCUUUAUCCGUAGACAUGGAUGACUAAAUAGGGAGCAGGCUGGAGGCGUGUAGGUAAGGCUAUGUGUACAAGAGCUCCUGUAGUUCUUGUGCUUUUGCUGAAGUAAAUAAAUGCGUUGAACGUGCACUUUGUGUUGUGCUGUGGCAAUGUGGCAUGUAAUUCGGAUACAUAUCUUGUUUCUGAAAUAUGUGUGUGUUAAUUCUAAUUUAAUUUACUACAUUUAUUUUUGUGUGUUUUUUUAAAAUAUUUGUGCCUGUAUACAUGCAUGUAUUCAUGUGUAUGUGAACGUUUCCCACAUAAAUUGCAGGCUGAGUGUUCUAAAUUUAAAUAAUUGUUCAUUGUGUGCGUUAUUUACUGCAACGAUUAUUCAUUGUGCAUUUAAUGUCUGAUGAUAUCUUCUAGAUUAUAAUUGCAUUGCUUUUUUUUGGUUAAGUCAGUCUGAUAUUUAUCUACAUCGUCUGUGUAAAUUUUCAAUUCGAGUUGGAUGUAAUCCUUUUCAAGCUUUUAAUUACUUUUAUUAAAUACACAAAUAUACAUGUAAAUCUUUCAAUCUGAACAUAAAGUGACAGUAGUGUGGACAAGGUGGAGCCAUCAAUGUCAUAUCUCUAUUUUGUCUGUAUGAUCUUGCAGUUUCAAACAAGCAAAUCAAGUGAUUCCGUUUUUAAAAUACACCAUCGUCGAUUGAAGUAUACCCAAAUUUUGUACCAUUUUAGCAGUUAUACUGUGAUAUCGGUGAAGCCUGCCAUUAUUAUUCUGCUGCGGACGACAUCGAUUCCCGAUUAUUUAUAUGUACGACAAAUUGAAGUGUAUUGGCCCCGUUUGCGAUAGGUAUCUCAAAAAUCAAAUAUACAUGUGAACAUAGAUACAUUUAUUUUUAUUUUUAUCUGCUUUUGUUUCUGUAAACAGUGUGAUAACCACAGUUUCUAUCAUCCAGCACAGUGUAGGUUUUAAGUUAGGAUUUGUAUCAAAUGUUAGUGUUUAGUAACAGAUACAAUCAUUUGUAACAAAAUACUUUAGAGCUGUGUUAUAUUAAUCCAGAAAUAAAUAAAUAAAUAAAUUUCAAAUAUAUGAUGUUUAUACUAUUUUUGUAUUGAAAUAAUUUUCUCUAUGAUCUUAUUUACAUUAGUUAAAAUUUCAAGUUAAAAAACAAUAAAUGAUUUUAACUUCAAUACAAGUAGUAGAAUCACUAUCAAUGAAAUCUUUGACAAUGGUUAUGUAGGAAUAUAAUAGUAAAUAGAAAUGAAAUGAGCAUUGGAAAUUAUAAGAUGCUCAAUAUGACUUAUGCCUUAAUUCACUAAGUAUACUCCUAAGUGACUCAUUUACAAGCUAUCCUAUGGUUCAAACCUUCAUGGUCCAUGGCAUUGUAGACUUGGUCAUUUGAACUAUUAGUUGACUUAUCAUAUGACUACAAGACAAUUUGUAACAUGUGCUUCUUUUCAACAACGUUUAGAAAAUAUGUCUUUCUUGUAUCCUUGGCAAGAAUUAUAGAAAAAGAGUUCCUAAACGUUCACGAACAUAGAUGACACACAUUCUUGAGCUUAGUCACAAUUACUUGUGUAGACCUCUUCUAUCAAUAACAAAGGAUAAAUACAUUCUCACAUUUAUUGAUGAGUUGUAACAAUUUAUGUAAAGCUAAAAGUAAAAUAUUCUAUUAAUAUUAAAAUAUUUAAAAUUUAUUGUUGCAAAAGAGUUGACUUCCACUUUUGCUUGCCUACAAAUAGAUUAGAAAGAAGAAUAAUGUCUAACAAAUCUUGAGAAAUAAUCAAUUCAAACAACAAAUGAGAUUCUUGGUACCAUUUCUAGUAUGGUUGUAAUAUACAAGCUUCAAGUGAAAUAAUUUUCUAAGAAUAUAAAUAAGUGUUGGAUUAAUAGUCUCAAGCAUUCAUUAUCUUGCUUAUGUUAACAAGUCCAACUUAGCCUAGAAUCAUUGAAUAAGUUUAUCAAAUCUUAUCAUUGCUAUUAAUAUUGCUAGUAAAUAGGAAAAAGUGUUGGUAGCAAAUACUUAUAGAUAUAUCAUGCUCAUAUUGAUAAGAUCACACAAAAACAUAUAUAAUAUUUUCUUAUUUUUCAAUAAAAUCAUCUGUUUGAUCCAUAUUGGUUUUUCCAAUAAUAAGAAGAGCUAAUGGAUCUUUUUUAGAAGAACAAUUUCCUCAAAUAUUUUUUGUGUACAAAAUAGUAUUGUAUUUAAUCUAUUAUUGCUUAAGUAUAAUUUUUUUUUAAAGGAAUAUUGAAUGAUAUUGUGUUUCUUCAAACAAAAAAUAAGAGAUAUAAUUGGUGAAUGUGAAAAAUGUUCAUUAUUAUUAUUAUUAUUAUUAUUUAAUAUUUCAUAUGAAUCAAGUUGUUCACAGAGCAAUAAUAUGCAUAAAUUUGGAGUACAUGGUUUGAAAAUCACUAAAUUAGAACAAGUUUGGAAGUAAACUUAUCAAUUGUUAUCACAUAUGUAAAACAAGGGUCACAAAGUAUAUAUCUUCAAAUACUCUAAAAAAAAUUUAAUCUGUAAAAACAUAAGGUAAAUUAUAGCAUACCAUAAAACUAUAUUUAACCUAAAUUCAACCUGGAUCUAGAGAUGAAUAUUUUACUAUAAGAAGAAAUUAUUUGUUUUAUUUAUAGAAGAUAUUGAUUUGGAGACUAAUACAUAAUAUAAUUAAUUGUAUACUUUUUAAAAAUUGGACAAUGUUUCAAAAUCACUUCUGGAUUCUUAUUGGUUAUAUUAUAUGAUUAAUAUUGUAAACUCAACUCCCUGUUUCUUAUGUUUUGAUUUUCUUGUAUUAAUCCUAAUUCUAAUCUCUUUAUUAAGUUUGUAUAAUUUUAAACUUAUAUAUAUAUAUAUAUAUAUAUACUUAUGCAAAUUAAUUGUUCAUUUUUUCUCUUAAUAUCUAAAUCUCAGAACCAAUUUAUUCUAUUAUGCAUACAAUGUAUGUUUAAAUUAAAAGCUCCUAAAUCAUCAAAGAAAUUUGUCAAUAAAGGUUUAGUCCAUUCAAUGGAUAUUGAACCACAAAUGAUCACAAGAAUGUUUAAUCUAUUUAUUCUAAUCUUUUUACAUCCAAUAAUGAAAACAAUACAUAUUUCAAACAAAAUCUACCAAAGAAGAUGUUUAAAUCACCAAAUUUAUAUACAACUUAUGAACAAUUUAUAAACAAAGUAAUAUGUUAUUAACUAAAACAAAGAUUACUUUAAUGACCAUCUAAUCAAUAAUUUAUUUGUAUUAUUUAAUGAAUAUAUUAUGUAUAUUAAUCCUAUCUAACAAAUAAAUAUCAUCUUCCACAUUAUCUUAAACGUCAAUCUUGUUUUAUUAUCACUUUCUUUAUUAGAAAUCGCUUCCUCUAUUUUUAGAGAGAUGGAAGCAUUAUGAGUUCCUCCCAUUAGAAGGAAUUUAAAGUUAAGAAAGCAAGGCUACUUGGCAAUUGGGAGAGUGAUUUACAACCCCAUACAGUCAAUUCUACAUGAUUAUGAAAGCUCUCUCAGUCUCUCAGUUUAGAUGCUCAUGUUCUAAAUUCUUGAGGUUGGUGCAAUAACUUAGAUUUAAGGUUUGUAUAUUCUUCAAUUUUACAAGUGACAAUAAAAGAGCAUCAAGAUUCUUCAAUAGUCAUAAACAAAGGUAUUUAAGACAUAUUAUUGCACCAUCUUCCAACUUUGGCAAAGAUGCAAGUUUAUCACAUACUUGUAAAUCAAAUCUUACAAGAGCUAGAAAGCCAUCUUUUCUACCAAAAGAAGUUGGUAAAGCCUCCAAAACAUCACAAUCAAAGAUAUUCAAUCUCACCAAAUUUGGAAGAUGAUCUAGAGUUGGAAGUGAGACCAACAUUGAGCAUUGUAUAAAGAAAGCAGAAGAGGGAGGGAACACAAGCGGUUUGGAAGAGAAACCAACCCCCACAUGAAAGCUCAAGGUAUUUCGAAUGCUGCUGGUCAUCACUCAACUCUGGAAACUCUGGAAGUUGCCAACCAUUUCCAAUGAACUUCAACUUCUGGAGCCUCUUUGAUGCCGUCAGCUGGGAACAACAUUGUUUCCAAGGAAUUACCAUUCUAGACACUCGAAUGUUCCAAGCCAACCAAGUUGACGAGGUCCCACACCACUAAUUUCCUUCUGAACAUUUUGGAAAGUCCCUCCCAAAGACUCGUUCUGAACAAAUGCUUACUUCCAUCAAUAUACAGGAUUUACAACCUGGUGAGGUGAAUUAAAUUGGAAGGUAAGUAAGUGAGACGAUCACAGCAUUCAAGAUACAGCUCCUCCAUGCCGACCAACUUCCCGAUUGAUUGUGAGAGCGUCUCUAUAUUCGUCCAAGUCAAACUGACAGAGAUUUUAUGUCUCUAACAUUCUUCAGUAGCGAAUUGAUCUCAGUCCUUAGAUCCAAAACGCGGAUGCUGUGAAGAUUGUUGAAGAGUUUCUUGGAAAUUGACCUCAAAAGAUUGUCUCGUAAUAGAACUUGGAGCUCUGGGGCAUCCAGUUUGGCAGGUUGCUCCUUCAGCUUUGUCAACAUGAGAGACAACCUGCAAACUAAAAGACUUGUCCUCCUGCCUCUGCCUAGAUCCUUGAUGAGCGGGAGACCAACACGCCCACCAGCCUACACGCUUCUAGGUUCGGAUCAUACUCAGACUUCUCUCCCACAAUUCCUUUCCCUCUCUACAACGGCAACAAAUCUUCGUAUAUCCCAACUUGGCAAUCCUUUAGUCUUUGAUCGAUACUUCCAAGCUCAUCAAAACUGAGUUUGAGUCAACUGUGCAGCCGCAUUUUGUGAUCCUUGUCUAAAAUAUCCGCAUAUUUUGCUUCUACAAAGACAACUCCUAAAAGCCUCGAUUAGCUUCCCUGCAAACACACUGCCAAUCACUUUGAGCGCCAGCAAAAGUCCACCACAUUUGCCCAUCACGUCCUCAGCUAGCUUUUUUAGCUCCAGAAACACACGAUUGGUCCCUCAAAGUGCUUGCCAUCAGAACAACUUCCAAGUGUUCUCUUCAUCUAGCAACACAAAUUUAAGCUUUGUCACAUGGUUUUUGUCCAACACCUACUCUAUGCAAGUGGUGACGAGGAUUUUGCACCCCGCUCUUGAGAGGACCACAGAUGCCACCGAGCGUAGCACAUUUUCUUCCCAAACAUCGUCCAGGACAACAAGCAUGUUCUUCUUAUCCUUAAGAUCCUCACUUAGCUCUGUUUUCAUAUCAUCCAUGGGAAUGUUUUGGCGGGCAUCUGAGCAAUCAGUGAUCUUCAAUGAGGUUGUGGAAGAGACUCCCCACCGACAAGUCUCUAUUGAUAGUGAACCAGAAGCAACCCCGUGUGAAGUGCACUCGUUUGGCAUUGUCAUAGAAGACUUGCUGAGCGGCAAGCAUCUUCUCUGCCCCACCUAUUGCCAAGAACCCUAUCAUGAGUGUGUUCUGGUCCAGUAACAACUUCUUUGCUUCUUCCACAUUCCCAUCUCUUCCGAACACCUUCUCCAUAUCCACGCCGCACGGCAUGUUAGUGGAGGUGGAGACUUUUGGCAAAGCACUAGUAUGUGUGGAAGUCAAGCGGAUGGUAUCCACUUCACUUGUGAUAGAUGAUAUCGCAGCCAUUACAUCCUCUGACUUUCUUUACCCGUAUUGAGACUUGUCAAGUGCUAAUUUGGUAGCACAGGCCAACUUCAACCUCUCUAAAUGAAGAUAAAUCUCAUUUGACUUUGUUUUUGUUCAUCGAGCAGCUUCAUCAUAUUUGCAGAAGUCUCCGAGAAUACUGCAAAACCCACAAUUGAAGCUUGUGACAGAAUGUUGCUUAGCAGCUCCUUCUCCUUCACCAGCUAUCUGGAAUUAAGAAAUUCAGGAAUAGUGAAACAAUUCCUUUUCAGGGCUUGCAACAUGUGCUUCAAGCAAUCUAACCUCAUGCGCAAACCCUUCAACCAAUUUCCCACCGCAAAGUUAGCGGUAGAUGGAUUAAUGCUAUCUACAAUCGGCUUUAGCUCUAUCAGCAUCGUCUCCAGCUCCGCUGUGUGCUUGUUACAUUUCUAUUCCAAAAGCGCCACCUCCUUUACCAUGUUACUCAUGAGCAAACUACACAACAUGGUGAUGAAAGGAGGAGACAUCAAUACUUAUCUAUCUGAAGCAAUGGACAUCAGGAACCAACUGAAGGCGUUCAGGGAGGUAGUUGAGGACAAGACAUUGAACAAUAUUGUUCUCAAUGGACUACCAAGGAGUUACGAGAUGGUAAUCCAAAGGAUCACGUACAUGACAAGCCCAUCCUUUGAAGAAGUUAUGAAAAAAAUCCUCACAUAGACACACCAAGUGGUAGUGCGAGAGUAGAAGCUCGAACAAGACAAGGCACUAUUAGUACACUUCUAGCGACCGUUCUUUCCAAGAUGAAGAGGUUACUUCUAAGAAGAAGGUCGAAGAGGACGCAGCUAUGGUCGAGGAUCUGUACCAUUCCACAACAACAACCAUUAUCACAAUACAACUGUAAUUCUCAGCUGAGAGGAAAUGCGUCUGGACACCAUUAGGGUAACCUUCCAACUGCUUAUCCUAAUAAAUCUGGACAGUUUAGAAGUCCCAGAAUUGUAGUAUGCUAUACAUGUGGAAACCUAGGCCACAUUGCGAAAAAUUGUUCUCACAUGAAGUACUAUCCUAGUUCAAACUACAAUAAAGGAAACUAUGCAGGAGUGAUAGAGUGGUCUUCACAUGCAAAUUUGACCAAAUACCAAAAUCAGCAUUGGUACAUGGAUUCUAGAGCUAGUAAUCAUGUCACAAGAGUGAGAGCAAAACUACAAUGGAUAGAAGGGAACUCAUCUGGUCACACUGUAAAAAUAGCCGACAAUGGUGUUCACCAAGUUGGAGCCGCCGGCUCAUCUAUUGUGAAAAUAGUCUCAAGUAAAAUAAAGUUGGGAAAUAUUCUAUAUGUGCGGACUUUGACACAUAGUCUCUUAUUAGUAGGAUCAUUGAUUGAUCAAGGUCAUAUCAUAGUGUUUACCAAUUUGCAAUGCAUUAUUCUGAACAACCACAAGAAACAGAUAAUAUUAGCCUUAGGAAGACGAGAUCCAUCAAAUGACCUCUGUAGAUUUACAAACAAAUCAUUGGAAGCUAAAGUAAACUCAAUAUUAUUAAAAUGAGAUAUACGACUCUGGCACCAAAGAUAUGGACAUCUUCAUUACGUAGGUCUUCAGCACCUUUCAAGAGCAGUAAGGGUCAUUGGACUAUCCAUGCUUGGAUACACGAAGGAAAUCUGUGGAGAUUGACUUGUUGGACGCCAACACACAGAGCGCUUCUCAAAGACAACAUCACAUAGGAGCACAUAAGUAUUGCAACUAAUUCACUCUGACCUUGUUGGACCUGUUCAAACUCCGUCAUUAGUUGGAUCAAGAUACUUUGUUGUCUUUAUAGACAAAUUCUCCAGGAAAAGUUGCGUUUACUUUAUAAAGAAUAAAAGCGAGACAUUUGGAAAGUUUAGAGAGUUUAAAUCAAGAAUAGGAUCCAAAACAUGCAAGAAAAUACUGAUGCUACAAACAGACAUGGGAGGGAAAUACCUAUUACACGAAGUUAACAACUUCCUAACAAACCAUGGCAUAGUAAGGCAGCUAACUAUGGCAAGGACACCUCAAAAAAAUGGAGUGAGUGAAAGAUGGAACAAAACCUUGGUUGAAAGAGCUAGAUCAAUGUUGGCUGUCUACCAAUUGCUCGGAUUUCUGUGGACAAAAGUCAUCAAUAUAGCCAACUACCUUGUAAAUAUAAGUCCCACAAGAGCUUACCAUGGUACUACACCCAAACAAAGAUUCUUGAAAACAAAACCUAGAGUGGACGCCCUAGCAUACCUACACAUACCAAAGGAGAGUAGAUCUAAAUUGGACAACAAAACACUACGUUGUAUCUUCGUAGGCUAUGAUGAACACUCAAAAGCGUACAGAGUCUUUGAUCCUGUAAAACGCAAACUCUAUAUUAGUUGUGAUGUAGUUAUAGAUAAGAGCCAAGUAGGCUAUGACAAAAUAAGCCCUCAAGACUUUAAAAUGGAAAAACUCGCCUCAUUCCCAGAUUAGGAAUCUAGAAAAAUUGAAGCCGCCAAACAAGUAGAAUUCCCCGUCGCUCAAGACUUAUCCGACAACGCACCUCCAACUUCUAGUUCCACUAAUCAAUUUUCAAGUGAUAGCAAUGAUGACAGCAUUGGACACCACAACCACGCGCAAAGUUCACUUGCGCAGUUUCCAGAACACAAACUGACUUAAUUGAGAGAAAGAUAAUACCAAAUACAAGAACAGAGACCAAGGAGCAGAUUCAUUGACAACUAUUUACUGACGACAGAAAGAAUAGAAUUUGAACCUGAAAUCUUUGAACAAGCGAUUCAACACAAAGGAUGGAAAACCACGAUAGAUCAAGAGGUAGAUUCCAUAACACAAAAUCAGACUUGGCAUCUGGUUGAUCUACCUGCGAGAAAGUCACCCAUAUCUACAAACUAGAUUUUCAAAUUGAAAAUUGCAUCAAGAAAACAGGCAAAAAAAUUGAAGGCGAGGCUCGUAGCCCGGGGAUUUGAAUAAGAAGAAGAGAUUGACUUUGGUGAAACGUUCGCACCUGUAGUUAGAUAGUCCACCAUUUGGAGCAUAAUUGCAUUAACUCCAAAGAAACAGUGGAAACUGCAGCACUUAGACGUCAAAAGCGCUUUCCUCAACGGGAAAAUUGAUGAAGAAGUCUACAUGACAGUACCUCCAAGGUUCCAGAACGAAAUGAGACGAGGCAAAGUCUAUAAAUUAGAAAAGGUAUUAUAUGGGCUAUGUCAAGCCCCAGAGCCUAGUACAGCAGGAUUGAUGGAACCUUCAAACACAAGUACUGACCAAGAGCAAAGAAGACCCAAACCUAUACUUUUCUAUUAGCAAUGACAAGCAUACUGUGGUAAUAUUCUAUGUAGAUGACAUCAUCAUAACAACCAAAAACGACAUAAUGCAAACAUUUGAAAUAACCAACUUGGGUGAUGCAAAGAUUUAC
rnacentral:lncRNA from 1 species